UCUUUUUUUUUUUUUUUUUUUUCAGAAGGUUUUAAGCAUGCAUGUAUAUUAGACUAUCAUGCGUUGUUGUCUAGUUGAUAACCUUAUUAUGAUGCAUGGGAUCUGAAUUCUUUAAUAAAGAAGGGCGAGAGAAGGUUUCAUGAUUAUAAAAAUUGAUUUGUUUACACGCGUUUGGAGAAUGGAAUCACAUUAUAGUACUCCCUCAGUUCCAAAAUUUUUGUCAUACUUUUUAUUUUUGAGAUAUUCUAAAAUACGGCGAAUUUCUCGAAAUAAUGUUAAAAUAAGCCUUGAAUCAAAUACAGAAAAGCUACCAAUCAGAACACGGUAAAACCUAAUCAGAAUAAUAUCGUGUCUAUUUCAUUUUUUUCUGUCAUACAAAUAUCUUUUGCUCAAACCCAAAAUUGUAGCAGUAUAUCCUUCAUCACCACCUUCAAGCAUUAUUCUACAAAGAACAAAAUCCGUUUGAGUCAGUUUAAGGAAAACAUAAUUAGAUUUUAUGAUAUAUAUGGCAAAAGUUCAGCAAGAUGAGUGGUUCAAAUAGAAAAUACUAGUAACAAUUAAAGCACUGAAAAGACAACACCCCUACGCUAAAUCGUCCCAGUUCGAUCUGUGCAAAAGUAGUACUAGCAGUAGUUGUCUGUUGGAAAUUCAAUUCCAGUCCAACUCAAAGAUGGUUUAUUAAUUCAAAAAGUCUGAGUUUCUCAGCUUAUAAAAAAAGAUGGUUCACAACCCAAGAAACAUUUUUAAUGAUCAGCAAAUUAUGAUUGUAAAUUAUUUAAAAUAUUUUUACUGUAACACUUUUUAUGAUGUGAUGUAUGUAAGAUAAAAAGGUAAUUUUUUUUUUUUUUGUCAAUUACGACAGUUUGACUUUUGUAAAUCCUAAACUUAAACCCACAGAUAAAAAGGUAAUUGAAAAAAUCAAAAGGUGUAUUGAAAAUUAUAAUGGUGAUGUAAGCAAAUAAAUUUGGAUAAAUAAUCUCCUGUCCAAACACACUAGAUGUUAAUCGACACUUCAACAGUGGGUAAUACUCAAUGAGGCGUUAGUGUUCCACGGUCAAACUAGGUAGAUAGCUAGGUAUCAUGAAAUCCUUCUCUUGAUAGUAAGGGCACGAAAGGCCCAAUGAGUAGCCCAACAAAGCCUGGACCCAGGUUGCAUUCCUCUGAUUAUUUUCUGAGUUCCCCUUGGUGGCGCUGGCACAGGCGCAGGCCUGGGCAUGAAUCCUAGACACGUAUGGAAUGAUUUCAACGAAGAAACCGAAAUUCCAGCAGGGAACGGGGAAUUCAUUUGAAUCUGCCGCUGUCCCCCAUCACCAUUUACGGAGUUCUACAUGAAAACCAAGAUGCUUUGUCAGUGCACUUCAAGGUUGGAUCACACAGAUAAUAGGAAAUUGUGACAGGAAAGCACCAAGGCAUGAGCAGCAACUAAUAGCCCGACAUCAAAAGCCAUAGACACAAAUGGUACACAGAAAGAAAACCAAGCCUACAGGAGGUAGGUAAAUUGAUCCCCCGUUGUUCUUGUACUAACCAAACAUAAUGAACUUCCAAAGAUAGCCUGAUGGGGACUCAAACAAGUACCUAGUUGCUUCAGUAAAACAACAGCAAUGUUGAAUACUGCCGGCGUCAGAAUAUUAGUCCACAGACAAUUGCAUUGUAUUUUACCCAAAUGACUUAUACGGUGUGUCAUAGCAUAAAGAUCAACCUGGGGCUGUAUCAGAGUGCAUUGAGAUACUUAACUAAAGUACACAUCUGGGCAAUCCGGGUUGUGGCAACUACGCAAUAAAGUCUAAUAACAUAAAAGCAAUUUCAAAACUAGAUCACCAUCGCUUUUGACGAUCAUGUGAUUUAAGAGUACCUUAAUUAAUCUAACAAUGUUCUGAGCAUAAAAGCGUUCAAUAAGAAACGUAGUAAAGAAAUCUUUGUUGUAGCACAAUGUAAUGUAUAAAUAGCCCCAUACCUUAGUCUGGGGUUAUAGCAUGUUAAAGCUCCUGUCAUGCUAAGAUUAAAAAUGCUUUCACAACCUUGUUUGAUGUCUCUUCUGAUAUAUAUAGGCCAGAAUUUUUGGGAUAGUUUCAUUCUUGAAAACAUGGAACAUGCAAAAGGUUGAGAAAAAGAAUGUAUCUUUUAAGUCAAUUUACUAGAAUUUCAGUUUUUAAUCCAAAUAGUCACUAUUAACAGAAGAAAAGGAGGUAUUAGUUAUUUAUGCGAUUCCAACCUAUCAUCCAGUUGACACCAGUCAAUUGGAGAAUGUUACCUGAUUGAACUCAGACCAGCUUGACUUGGGCUGCAGUAUAUUGUCAAGAGCCAUGCUGAGUCUUGCUGUUACAGGGGGAAAAGGAAACAAUUUAGCAAUGAUCCUUUUGCCCAAUUGAACUCUUUCUUCACAUCCUUUUGUUUAAUUUAAUUUCCAGUUUAUCUUUCACAAUCACUAAUAAGUGACCAAAAAACAUGUAGAUGUUGACCAUUUACCUGAUUCCUGGAGGUUCAAUCUGGUCACCAUGCUUGUUCCGCCACAUUGCCAGUAUCAAUUCAAGAACAAAUAGGGUGAAGGUCAGUGAUAGCUAGUAUUGCAUCAACACUUUAUUACAUUUCACAAUUCACACCCUUGCGUUUAGGCAAUAUUUCUGCUAGAUCCCUCAAAUUCUAAAAUAAAUUACAUUAAGAGCCUCUGACAGACAAUGAAGGACAACCUAGGCUCACCUCACAAAAGGUUCUAGCCUAAAUACCAACUGCAUGGAGUAGGGAGGAUGUUGUAUUGCAAGAUCGUGGUGGAAGCUUUGGUUUUUCACACCCUUGAUGUGGUAGCAGAAACAAUUUAAUAGGAAUAGUUUCACGAACUAAUCCAAAAAACAAAUCAGGAGUUGAUACAUGAUAGUACCCCAAAAGGAAAACCAAGAUUCAACAAGAAUCCCGUCUAGAUUCAACAAGAAUCCAACCUUGUAAACACUCAAGCAAAGGAAAAAAAUCCAACGCAGAAGUAUUAAAAUUUAAUAAUAAUGUCAAAAGCUGUCCAAAUAAAUCCUAGGAACACUUAUUUAUGGGCCUUAAGUAUUAUAAACCGAAAAGGAAAGAAAAUACACUUGAAAUCAGCAAAAACGAAUAAAAUCAGAAUAGCAGCCACCUUAGAAUUUCUUUAGUGUGUUGCAGAUCUGCAUAGCAGAUCCAAAAGGGGAGUCUCAGCCCCCAAUCCGCAGCUGGACCUGAUCUGCAUGCAGAUCACUUUGAGAAACAGAUCCUGCACUAUUUUUCCUUCCUUCUUCCUUCAUGUACUCCUUUGUCGACAAUUAUAGCUAAUAAUAGGAAAACUAAAUAAAAAUAACUAAAAAUACUAAUCAAAACUAUGAAAACUACCCUAACUAAGAAUCCUAAAACGGCACCUUGGGCGGCUUUAUUGAUACGGACUACGGACGACGGAUUAAUGAAUCUAGGAUCCUUGUUCGGGAUCAGCCACAAGUGGCCCCCUCGAGGGUGAUGGCUUUUGGGCCCAUGGCAACAUUUUAAUUUUUCCCCAAAUUUCAGAUCUUACUACUUUUGUCCUUUAAAACUUUCCAGAAAAAGUCCCAAAACUUACAUAGGUGCAAUUAUUUUCUCAAUGGAGGCCAAUUGGGUAAAACUUCAGGGGUAAAUACUGUGAAAAAAAAUAAAAAUGGUAAUCUUACCAAACACAAGCUAGGUGAUGGCACUAAAAAGAACAAGAAUUUUUCAUAGAAUCAUGAAAACGAAUAAGCAUAUAAAACUACCUAUAUAAUGCUUACCAACUUAUAUCAGACACAUCAAUGUCCUCCGUCUUCAAAGCAAACCCCAAAUCUUUGAGCAAACAAAUCACAUUUCGUACAACGAUGUGUGGUGGUAUAUCAUUCUGAAAGAGAAAGAAAGCUUACUUAAGUUCAAGAUGAAUAAGAAACAGUAGCGGCACCAAGAUAAAGUGCUGGAAAUGCAUACCCCAAGUGCAAUGAAGUAGCGAAAUCUAUCAAUGGGACCGCCAGCCUUAUCAAAAACAUUAAGCAUCAAUCCCAUAGAACGUAUUGCAUCUUUCAUUUGCCUGCACCUGUUCAACUCCUCAUUAUGGGCAGUACCCAUUAACUUAACCUCUUGAUCAAGUAAUAAAGCUAAUUCUUUUAGGAUGCACUGCCCAAUAAAGGAUCCAUCAACACUGUUAUCAAUAGCCGGAGCAAGUAAUUUUUCCCUAGCAACCAACAAUAGAGCAACAAGCUGAACAAGUCUCCCCUCAUGAACAUUUGAGGAACUUAUCACCUGCAACUCUUCAGUAUGCAAGGCCAGCAGUUUUAAGGUCUCCAAUGGCUCUGCCUGUCAAAAGGGAUAACCGAUCAAAAAGGUGAACAACAUUCCUAUACUAGUUUAACGACAUACAAUUGUGACAGGUGAAAAGGUUUAAAGAAAGAAGGGAAAGACGGAAGCACCAUUUCCGGCAGGCAAAAAAUAUAAAUUAGCUUGAAGAUCGAUUUAUUGGGACUCCAAUCACGCAGGAAUGGAUGACAGCCUAUUGCCUCAAGUGCCACACUUAGAGGGAGCUUUCCACUAUAUCUUGACCCAUGAACGCUGCAAGGAAGGGAAGUUAAAGCUCCAUGCUUCAGAAAAACAUCUGUAAGGCCGCAACAUAAAUUUUCAGCUGCAUAGUGCAAUGGGUAAAACCCACAUUUGAGCGUCACAUUAAGAUCCACAGAUAGUCCCGUCUUUCCUUCCAGCAAUGCCGUGGCACAAGCUAAUGCUUGGUGGGAACAUAUCCACAUCAGCACAUCCUUUGAGUCAAGUACAUUUUCGUUAGUCACAGAAUUCUUCUUUUCCAACACCCUUCUAACCAACGAAACAAAUCGAGACUUAUUAUCAAUCCGAAUAAGAUCUUCAACUUGCUUAUGCAACCUAAGUGCUUUCUCACAGUUGCAUUUCUGCCAUAUCAACAGAAGCUGGUAAAGAUACAAAAGGGGGAGAGAAACAAAGGAAAAAAAAAUGACCAAGGAGUACUUUAUUUGCACAUAGUAUUCACAUGUACCACCAUCCAAGAUGAAUAAGAACACCCACCUACUUCAAAAGAAUUUUGUAGAUGUCAUUGCAUAUUCAAUACCAUGCAAGAAGUCUUUACACUUUUGUAACGGCCUUCUACCUAAACAUCUUGCACAUACUGGGGAAAAGAAAAACUAGGAUGCAACAGAAAAGCUACACUACAUUCCUAACAAUGCAAAUAGGUUCAACAAGAAAGCAGAACUACUGAGGACAACAACCCACUCAUUCGCUAACCUUGCCAACUCAUUGGAACCAACAAAAGUAUGACUAGGAAAGCAAUCAGCAGAUGACACAAAUAACCUCACGAAGGAUCAGAAAUGAUAUCAUCUCAAACAUAUAUGUUCCUAACUUACAAAGUGAACUUCGGUCUUUUAUUUCUUUCAAGGACACCUGUUACACACUCAAACCUAUGCUUAUUUCCAUGUUUAGGUUACUCUGAAUUCCAAAUCAUGGAUAGCUUAUGAAGACCACAGCAUAUAAGUGCAAACAAUGCUCGUACCAGUAGUACAGAGUUGUGGACAGAUCCAUUAUAUAGAUUAUACAAGAGUACGUAAAUUAAUGCGCCUGAGCAGGAAUUCAGUUACCAAAAGCAAAUUGAAGGCGAAACAUGAUAGUGAGACAAAAUCAAGAUUUAAAACACGUGCAAUUAACACGAAGUUUGAUGCCAAAAUCAACGCAUGAUCUGCAGUAGUUGGCAAAAAAAUUAACCAGAGUUCUGUCUUUAAUAGUAUACUCUUCUUGGGAGAACAAUUUAGAAUGACUUUUUUCAUAACGUGCUGCUCUGGAAAUUGAACCCGGAGAAAUUCUGUUCUAAAUAGAUUUUCUUUUCUGUUGUCCCAAAAAAAUAAUAGAAAAGAAAAACAUUAAAAGUAACUUUUUUUUCACCCAAUUCAAUGUACUGCUCUGAAAAUUGAAUUCGAACAAAUUUUGCCUAAACAAAUUCUCUUUUCUUUCUUUUUUUCAUACACAAAAACAGAAAACAAAAGCGUGAAAAAUUACAUCUUUUUCAGCUAAAACUACAGAAGCCAAUUGCAGUAUUUUUUUUUAAGCACACAAAAGGUGGGGCUGGACAAACAAAAGCGUGAAAAAUUACAUCUUUUCCAGCUAAAACUACAGAAGCCAAUUGCAGUAUUUUUUUUUUUCAAGCACACAAAAGGUGGGGCUGGACAAACAAUUUCCUUUUUGUUUCUCAAGUGUCUUGAAGGCAUAUUAUUUCUCCAUUUUUAUUUUUUCUGUUCCUCAAAAGAAAUUUAGCAAUAGACAGAAAAACAGAAAAUAAGGAAAGCAAGAGAGUGAAAAUACCACAUAAUCAAGCAUGUUGACCUCUCAGACUUAGACUCAGCUCCUGUGAAGCUCCUAAGGAAAAAGUAAAAAAUCAGGGUGUUUUAUGUUAUCAGAAAGCAAACCUCAAAGAAACAAGGGCAGAAGACUGAAAAUAAUAAGAGAUUAAACCAGGAUUUUCUCCACCUUUUUCCCUUCUGAGUUUUAGGCGAAAAGAGACCGAGCAAAGGUCUCACCUUUAAUGUCUGGCGUCCUGGUGUGGUAGAUCAUAGAUGGGAAGGCACUCCGCCGCGACCGCGAUUCAGAAAGUUUUUUUUUUUUUUUUCCGGGUAGGGGGCAUGGAGUUUUUAAUUAAGGCAGCGUUUGAAAUUGAAGGGAAGGAAUGGAAAGGAGAUGAUCUAAUGGAAAGGAAAAGUAACGCGCAUUUUUUUUUUUAUUGAAAAACACAUAUGGGAGGAAAGCAAAGAAAACUAUCACACUUGUUUUUAUCCAAAAACACAUUAUAGGAAUUUUAGAAAAUUUAAAAUUUUCAAUUUUGAUAUUCCUUUUCUCCAUUCCCACCCACUUUCGAAACCUAACCAAAAAUAGUGAAACCUUACCCCUCAUUUUUUUUCUUCCAAUUCUUUUUUUUUCCCUCCUCAAAAACCAAUAUAAACGUCAUUACUCCAUUUCCUUUCCCUUCCCUCCCAUUCCCUUAGGGUCCGUUUGAUUCAGGGAUGACAUAUAAUUACAUUAAUUAUCCUGUGUGAUCCCAUAUUUAAUUGCAUUUUACGCUUAAGAUGACACAUUCUAAUUAACAGAAUUAAUCCCCCAUUCAUGGGAUAAAAUAAUACCAUGAGGGAGAUAGUCAUCUUAGUGUUUGGAUUAGGAAAAUUUGAAAUAAAAAAAUUUACUUCACAAAUUCCAAUCAUCUUUUUAUCUUUCCAAUCACCUUUUUAUCUCACGUACAUCACAUCAUAAAAAGUGCUACAGUAAUUAUCUCAAAUAACUCAUCCAGAUAAACUCAUAUCCAAACAAACUAUUUAGUCAUCUUGGGAAAACUAAGGGAUAGGAUAAUAAAAUUUUAAAUUAAUUUACCCUCACAAAUAAUAUAAAUUUAUACUCUCAUAAUUAUAUAACCUUACCCUCACGCAGUAAUAUAAUAUGAAUGGACUAAUUUGUCCCUACUAAUUAAUUUAAGGUUUUUUCACUAUUUUGCCCCUACUACCAACAUAAUAAUAUUUGGACUAAUUUGUCAUUGCGAAUAAUACAAAUGCAUACUGAAUAUUAUAUAACUAUUCUCUCACAUAAUAAUAUAAUAAUAAACGGACUAAUUUACGCCUACUAAUUAUAUCGAAUUUUUUUACUAUUUUGUCCCUUUUCAUUAUUUUAAAUUUUUGACAAAUUACUCCUAUUAAUUAAUUUAAAUUUUUAAGCUAAUUUACCCCUACUUAUAUCAUAAUAAAAGGACUAUAUUGCCCUUGGACUAAAUUGCCCUUACUAAUUUAUUUUCCCAACCAAAUUCUAUAUAAAUACACACCCUUAUCAAUUGGGUUUUGCAAAUGAUGCUUUCAAUAAGCCCAACCUUAAUCCAAAGAAAAAUUUUCGAUAUAGAAGAAAAUAUUCUCUAUUAGGCGGGUUGGAUUUUAUUAAAUUUAAUCCUAACUUAGCCAAAACUCAACCUAUUAUUUAAUUGAAUUUCAAAUUUAGAUUGAAAAAAUCAUGUUAAAAUCUAUUUUUAAGGGUUCGAAUAGACUGAGUUUAAGUGAAUGCAAAUUUUUAUAUGUCAAAACCCCUUAUCAUAUAUAUAUAUAUAUAAUAAAGUCGUACUCUCAUACUUAUCCCUUCAUAUUUUCUCUUUCCUACAUGGCUUAACGAGAUGACAAGUAGUUUCCUACGUGGCUUGCUCCUUUUUUGUUUGGAUAUAUAUCAAUUAUUAUUUCCUAUAAAAAUUCUUAAUAUUAUAUGAUUCUUAUUUCCUACCCAAAAAAAGGAACUGGAAAGUAAUGCGAUAUAAAUAAAAAAGACAUAAAUCUCCUCUAUUAGAUAUAUAGGAAUAAAUGAUAAUAUAUUUUUUUAUAGUGUCCUAUUCUUUUUUUUUUAACAUUUUCAUUAUAGAUCCUUUUUAUUUUAAGAUAAUCUACUCAUAUAUAGAACAACAUACAAACAAUCUAGAUAUGAAAAUUAACGAAAGUUAGCCCGUGAAAGUUUUUACAAGAUUCACAAUCCCCAUGCAUAAUUAAUGUACAAAGAAAAAUGGCAUUUCAUCUUAUUGAAAAAUUCUGAAAAAGUCCAUAAAGAAAAUGGAGUGUCAUCAACCAAAGAAAUAAAAUCCCAUUAUCAUAGCUAAAGAAAUAUGAGAUAAAACAUUAGAUAUUUGUUGAAGUUUUGCACCCCGAAGGCCCCUACCCGACCCUCCGUCCGUAAUGUCCUCCAAUCCAAGAGAAUGGCCUCCGUCCGUAGUGUCCUCCGCCCGUCUUUUUUUUAAAUAUAUUUCUGCUAAUAAUUCCUUAAUCACAAUACAUCUCUGCCCAAAUGGAGGGGAGUAUUUCGUGUGUAGACCCAUAUCAUAGGAGUCCAUGCACUUAAAUGACUCGAUAUAGUGGAGAUGGUCUUUUAAGGUCGGUAAAAUCUAUCUUGAUAACGCAUUUGUAAAUUUAUUACGUACAGGUUUAUAUACGUGCAUAGUACGGGUCACAUAAAGUCUUAUUUCCUACCCAUAGUUAUUUGGACGAUUAUGAUUUUAUUUCCUAUAAAAAUUCUUAAUAUUAUAGCAUUCUUAUUUCCUAGCCAAAGUUAUGUACUUUAAACAAUUUAAAUUAAGAUAAACAUACUUUUAAUGUUCUUAUCAAUAUUUCUUUGUAUUCUUAUCAAUUCUUAUUUCUUAUGUGUACACUACAUAUAGCCUCUAAUAUAUUGAUUUCAAGUAUCAAAUUCAUGGUUAGAUAUUUUCAGUGCAAAGCGGUUGGCAUAUUAAAGUAUCGAUUUUGGAUUUCCACUCCUCUUGAUUAUCAAGUACAUAUUCUUUCAAUAUUAUAUAUAUAUAUAUAUAUAUAUAUAUAUAUAUAUAUAUAUAUAUAUAUAUAUGGCAUGUUGAUCUUCAAUUGUAAGAGUUUAGUAACAUAUCUUGAAUUUUAUUUAUUUUUUAUUUUUUGUUUUAUUUGUUUUGUAUGAAGACAUAGGAUUUAAACAAGUACUUUCAUCGUUAUUUUUGUAGGAUUUUUUCUAACAUGUUUGUUAAUUGAUUUUUGUGAUCAUAUACUACGAUGUUUAUUAAUUUGCCUUCAGGAAAAACAACAAAAAACAAAAGGCACUGAAAAGUAAUGCGAUAUAAAUACAAGAGACAUAAAUAUCUCUAUUAGAUAUAUCUGCAAAUUCAUUAGUUAAUUAAAAGACUCUGGUCGUUUACUUAAUUAUAAUCUUUACGUAUUGUUAUACACAAACUUGAAUGCGAUAAAUCAUUUUUUUUAUACUUAGUUAUCCUAUUUUACUAUCAUGCAGUGAUAAUAGAAAAUCAAUAAACGCUGAUUUGCACGAACAAAUCGAAGAGAAUGUUUAAACAAAACAAAAACAAAAACAAGUUUCUGAAUAGUAGAAUAUUAUUUGAUACUAUUUACUGCACUUUUUAUUUAUUUUCAAGUUUUUGAAUGUUAUGAUAUUGUUGAAUGUUAUUUUUUCUAUUUUUGAAUUAUUAUUCACUGAAUUAGAUGUUCAAAUUUAUAUUAUAAGAAUACUUUACAUUACAAUGUGCACAUAGUAAUAUACUUAAGACAAGUUAUAAUAGAUUAUACAUUAAAUAUGUAUUUUAUAUCGACAUUUUUAUAAAUUGACUAAAGUUUAUUAUUUUUCGACGAUUCCCGUUCAAUGAACGGGUACAAAACUAGUUUCAAAUAAUUCUAAAGUUUCAAAUAAUUAUUUGCUUUAUAAUUCUAAAGUUUCAAAUUAUUAUAUUUUAAUAAAAGAAUUUGAUUUAAGGGGUAUUUUGGUCAUUAAAAUAAUAAUUAUAUCUCAUCCAAUCUCCAACCAAACACAAUAUAUGAUUAUUCCUAAUAUAUCCUAUCCAAUCUAAAACAACCAAACACUGGAUAACUUGUAUUAUUAAUCCCAAAAUGAUUCAACCCAAGAUUAAUAAUCCGAUAACGAGUCAUUUCAUUCUUUCCAGUUUGUGAACCAAAUGAACCUUUAAAACAAAUAGUGCAUGAAAAAAAUAGUCUGUUUGUUUGGAUAAAAAUUUAUUUGGAUGAUUUAUUUGAUCCAGUUACUGUAGCACUUUUUGUGAUGUGAUGUAUGUGAGAUAAAAAGGUGAUUGGGAAUUGUGUGUACGAUACAAGCAAAACAAAAUCUGAAAUUUUUAUUCCAAAUUCUUGUUGUCCAAAUAAACUCAGUAUAUCCAUCACCAAUAAAAUGGUAAGGGUUGAAGGUAAGAGUGUUCAGGUAAUUGGCGAUCUAGUAAAAAAAAUUUUGGGAAUUGGUUUUUUAAAAUCAAUAUCCAAUUACCGUCCAAUCUUUUGUUUGGUAAAUUAGAUCAAAGAAUCGAUAAAUUCGGUAAUAUCUGAAAUCCAAAAUAUCAAUAAUGAGUUAAAAUAAUUUUAUUUUUCUAUAAAAUAUUAUUCUAACAGAAUAAUAUCUCAUAUUUUUUCAACAAAAUUCAAUCAACUUAGCACAUGAUUUGUUUGCAAGUUCAUAAUCUUAAAUCCUAACUCAUAGUUUCAAUUUUUUAACAACAUUGAAAUAAAUAAGAACUCUGUCUGCAAUUUCUCAUAAAUUGUAUGCGGGUAGGUUUUUUUUUUUUUGCAUCAAUAUAUUAAAAUUUGUUCAUACCCUAAAAGUCUCCGAGUCGUUCAUGGAUAUCUGAUGAGUCAGUACGGGUUGACUCGGAUGCUCUUUUGGGUCCGGGAGUCUACUCAGCCCGAAUCUUCCGAGUCUGAACGAAUUCGCACCGGGUCUACUAUCUCCGGUGACGACUCAGCCGGAUCUACUGGGACUCGGCCGAGUCUUUGAACCAUGGACUCACGUACAUGCCUAAUCUGUCAUGCAUUUUUCUUAUUAUGCAAUUUUUGGGUGAACGGUGCAUCAAAAAAUAAGGAUGCCCUGAGAAGAGAGCCAGUUUGAAAAGGUGACAAGUCGAGACCUUUGGCAAUCUUUUUUAGCAGACAGAGACACAAAAACAUAAACGAACGAUCUUUUUUCUUUUCUCCUUGGUGCGAUCAACUUUUGUCUCACUUAAUUGAUUUGAUUUAUGCAAAUGCUCUCUCAGACGUCUGCAGCCGUGUGGUUUUUCCAGCAGGACAAAAAAUCAGAGAAUUUUUUCUGGCAGCUGAGCUGAUUUUGGAUAAGGCAGAAUGGAAGGGGUAUGUAUGAGUAUGAUAACUCCCUUGCUGCAUCGCAUCAUCUUAGAACUUUAUUUUUGUCUUAUAUAAAGUUGCUUACCAAGCAUGUAAUGUCUGAUAUCUUGUAUCUUAGUCACUUAUCUCGUUGCAUUUUCUUUCCUUUCUUCCUUCCUUUCUCAUGUUACAUCAUGAUUAGAGUCAAAUUAUAUUCUUGACUCCCAUCUUUGGUAUUUUUAAUGUCAUAAUACUAAAUUUGAUCAAUUUCUUGCUACAGGGUGAAGUGAUUAGACUGCGUAUAGAGUCUAGGACGCUUGAAGUCUCUAUACACUUAGGCAAGAUUAGUUUAGACAGUUUUUGUUUAUGUAUUGUCAAGUGGCUAUCUAACUUCAAAUUUCUGUAAAUUAAGUGACUUAAGAUCAUCCGUGUGUACAUUUUGAUGAUCUGAAUGAAAUAGCAUGACAGCAUGAUCUUCUGCGGCCACAUGAAUAUUUCAACGUCAUUCACCCAGAUAUGUUGCUUCUCCCAAGUUUUAGGUUUUAUUUAUAAAUUGGGAAAAGUAGAUUGCUCGCUUGAAAUUUCUUGUGUUGUUUUGUUUAUUUGUACAACUAUUUUAAUCAUCAUGAAUGUUGAAAUAUGGUCCUUGCCUCUGAGUUUGUGCUUUCUCUAGACUCCAAGAGUAACUGUGUUGGUUCUCUCUCUCUCUAUGAUUCUUAUUAUUUUCUAUUAAAGCAGAGGGUACACACUUUUCGGCCUCCAGAAGGAUAUGUGGAUGAAGAAAUGGAAGACUAUAUCAAGAAUGGUUAUCCUUCCCUAGAAGAUGAAAUUACUUUUGCUGUCUCACAUGAUAAGAAAGAAACAUUUGUUACUUGGAUAAAUGGGAUAACCUACAAAAAUGAUAUACCUCGAUGGUGUGUGGAUCGUAUGUUUCUUUUUGACUCCAUAAAUUGUAUGGAUGCUGUUCUGAAUGGAGAAAUGACAGGAAAAAUUGAUUUUACUGUUGAUGCUGUUCCACACAACAACCAUGGGGAACUUCCUGCAUUGCAUAAAGCAGCUACUAGUCAGGCCUGUAGACUGACUGAGUUAUUUCUUGGUAUUACGGAUCAAGCAAAUGUCAGAUUGGAUUUUAAGGAUGUAAAAGGGUGGUUGCCGCUGAAUUUUGCUCUUGAGAAUUUAAGGUAUGAUUUACUUCUAAAUGGAUGAUGCCAACAUUAGUUGCCGUGUUUCUGAUCCUGUUUAUGAUAGUAAAGUAUAAAUCGGAUGGAAGAUCUUCAAAAUUAGUUUGACUGGAUGGUUUUGUUGUAUCCCUUUCACACAUCACAGGUCUCCAAGCUCGAUGCCUGUGUGGAUAAAUUCUAAAGGAGACAAGCAUAAAUCCUACUGGAUGGCUAAUCCAAUACCACAGGGACCAACUGAGAUGGUCUUCAAGUUACUUUAUUAUCUGCUUUGGCCGUUUUCGGUUUGUACUCAUAUUAGGCUUUGUUAUUUUCAUUUUUUUUUUGUUAAGCAUAUGUUUUGGUUUCUUUAAAGGUUUAAUUUAUAUAGGUAACUUAAUAUUGAUGCAUUUUGCUGCUAUAUCUGUAGUCCUGGAAAUCGCAUGAAGACUCAAAGCCACUUAUGAUCCCCCUGGAGUAGUUCUGAAUACUCCCCUUCUAUUUGCCUUUCCCGUGACUCUCUUCCUUUCUCCCCUCCCCCAGCUCUGUUUAUUUGAGAAAUUUUGCAUAUGGCUCUUGUGCAACUAUCUGAAUUUGCAACGUUAACCUGAAUUUGCAACGUUUUCUCUUCUUUUCCUGUUUGUGCAUUUGCACAAGACUGUCAUUCCAAGUGUAUGGAUUUCCCUUCUGUUUUGUGGGAGGCGUAUAUGCAGUAAAUGAAACUUUUUGUAUGGGAUUUGUUAAGGCAUGGUUAUAAUAAGAACAGUAAUUGAGAAUUCAAGUCAGAUUAUGGUUGUAGUUUCAAUAGGUGUCACGAUUGAUGUCUGCAGCAAUUAUCUCAUCUUUUUUUUUUGUUGCUGGGACAGAGAUCUGCUCUGGAAGUUGUGAGAUUGCUGGCGCAGAAGACCAAAGAAGUUGAAUUUGAAUUUUUUAAAUAUGUGAAAGAGCAGAAACUGGUUGAAUUAGCAGGCUUGUUGUUGGUGGCUCAUGAAAAGGUUAUGCCUGGUUUAGAAGAACGUAUGAAGAUCCGCAAUUUUGUCUUGAAAGAAGCUGCAUUUCUGAAUUUACAAGAAAUCAGGUCCUUGUAUGGCUCUGGUGAUGAGAAGUCCCUACAAGAGGUGAAAAAGAAGAAGGUGGAGAUGGAGGCAAUACUAUUAUUACUUGAAGUAUUUGACAGAAUUGGUGAUAAACUUUCGGCUUAUGUUCAGAUAGUGCGAAAACUGGUAUUGACUAGUUUUACCUCUUCAAGGAUUGAGGUGGUCACUAGUUUAAACUAAAUCCUAAUAGUUAAACUAGAGAAGCAUACAAUGUGUACUCCAAGCUUCUCUUCUUUGGUUGUGUUGAUGUCAUUAUAUUGUUCAACAAAUUCGGUGUUAUGUUCCACUUUUUGAAUUUUGGAUGUGAGAUUUGAUGCAUGUGAAUUGUAUUUCUGUGAUAGGUGGGAGAGGAAUAUCACGCCAAAGAAAUUGGCUGGAUCUUGGAGAAAGCUGGAUUUUCCGUGAAGCUUGAACUUUUUGAUGAAACAAGCAGGUUUUGGUGUCAAGGACUUUUUCCCUCCUCCACUCCCUUUUCUCUGACUAUCUAGUGAUACUGUACCACAGUACAUGGACUUAUUCCAAACAGAGUUUUCCUUGCAGCUUAACAUGACAGAAUUUAGCAUGAGAAGUAAAAGGAUCUGACAACUGCAUUUCGGUGAUAACAUCAUCCCCUGAAACACUUAACUUUGUACUGGAAUUGCGCAGAGUAGAAAACUAUAGUUAUCGUUAUGGUGCUCAGACAACGGCAACUUGUUAUGUUUUAGAUUGAGAUGCAUUGUGCUUACUAAAAUAUCUGAAUGUAGCCCAGGUUGCUUGCUUAGAACUCAGACAUUUUUAUGUCAAACUCUAGCUUAUUGCUUGGCUUUAAUUCCUAUUACUAUGCCAAGGAUCCAGUCUAAGUGCAAUUCCAAUUCCCAAGUCCAGCACUUGCAUUUAUGAUGUUUGCUGUUUGCAUUUGAUUUGCUCAUAUUGACUUAGUCUUACUAUUUAGCUCUAUAACUUGUUCUUGCCCUUCUCACACUGCAAAAAUUUGCAGGGGAAUAAUUCGGCAUGAGUGGUAUUUACCCUUUCUAGGUGAUUCUUUUGUACCUACUCAUGCAAACAUGUUUCUUAAACUUAUAAAGGUGAAUUGGCUCAAGAAUUGCCAUUAACUUGUGUAAUGAUGCAAAAUACAGGGGACACAGGUGCAGAAGACACCUUUUACAUUCUUAAUCGCAUCAAACGUUUGGAGUCACAUAAGAUGGCUUUGGGUUAUCGAAAAGUAUGUCAGUUAUGUACAUCACGUCCUAUAUUCUUUAGUUCCGGUUGUUUUUGGCUCUACCUUAGUCUCUUGGACCAUAACCUUUGUUGCAUAUAGCUUGUUCAUUUGCAUUACACUGAAACUCGAGACCAUAGCACAAUUCAGGCCAUUACAAUAUUCAUUUAAAUCAACAUCAUAGAAAUUUGAAGAAAAUGGUAACUUGUUAUGUCCUGUAGUAAACUAAUACUGUCAUUCAAUUUCCUGCCUAUAUAUCUGAUGCUAUUCUGAUCUAAAUCUUGUAGUAUGAUACAUGAAUAGGAUUUUGUACAUUGAUACUGGAUACAUGGUCCAACUAAAGUACUUCUGCUGCUUGUCUCAUUUUAUAAGCUGCCUUCAAUCUGUGGGACGCCUAUUCAGCAAGUUGUAGCAUCUUCAAGUAGCUCCUCCCAAUGGUCUUCAGCUUCUGCUCUAAAAUCAUUUCAUACAUUCCAUCCUGUGAGGGCCAGUGGUCGGUGUUCUGGUUCUGCUACAUGGGAGAAUAAAGCAUGCAACUGGUUGUGGGAUUUGCCAUGCAAACGUGGUCUUCUUAGAGAUAGCCAGGAUCUCCCUUCAGCCAAUAGGGUGCUAAACAUGCAAUACAGGAAGGUAUGGGCUUGUGUUGUGGCAACUUUAAAAAGGGGAACAAGGCUCAUCUGAACGAUUAUUGAGGUGGCCCUUAUUUUUCCUCCGUAUUGGUAGUAUUGGUGUUAUACCUGGGGCCCGUAUUUCUUACGCUUGUUUAAUGGAAUGUUUUGAAGUAUUGGAGAUCUUAGCAUUUGUUCAAGUAGUUCAGUGUAAACAAUGACACCGUACUAUUGUAUGACUAUUCUGCAUGCACCUCUCUUGAAGGUUAUUAGUAGGAAGAUGGCUGCCAAUGACUCUGUGUUCUUGGCCCUUUCUGCUAUGAAAUUUAUACCCUUGAAAUCACACAUAUUCAAGUUUCAUGAUAUGUUCAACUGCAGGUUUGGUUUUUUGUUCAGUCAGUAUCUCUUAACGUGCCUGAAAUUGGUUUGGCACUUCUGUAUUUGCUUCCUUAGCGAUAAUUGCACGGCAUAUGUUGUUAGCUGGCCGUUGUUGCUAUUGAAAGGAAACGUCUUGCUGAAAAUGCUGCAAGGACCAUAUUUCUUCUGUUUCUCGCUAAAAUUAAAGACAUCGCAUUUGAUUGCUUGGAUGGUGUACGUAUGCAUAAGUUUGCUCGUUGUCUAAAUGACUAAGAGGCUCUAAAUCCCUAUGGCUUGUGGUUUUGUCUCGCAUCUCUUCUAUAGUUUCAUGCAAAUAUGGUGAAACUUUAAUUCAUUGGGCUUGUACUUUGUACUGCAAUCGAUAAGACGAUAAGUAUGCCUUUUCAAUCUUCUUAAAGAUUUGUCUGUUUUUCUGCAUCAACAGAAUUAGGAGUUAGUACCAUGUCAAAUUUGAUCUCUAUAUCCUAAACUGUGGCCCGUUUUUACUUAAUUACCAAAAAGUUUUCCCAUCUUUUUCUGUGUUCGUAUAAAAUCCAACAUAUAAAGAUCAAACAGAUACUUGGCCAUUUAUAUUCUGUCGCAGGCCAAUUUUCUUGCUUCUCCCACCUAGGUAUGGUUUGUAUCUUUAUUCUCCUUCUCUUCUUCUUGUUUUUUCUGUAACGAGAAAAAAAAAAAGACAAAAAGAAUCGUCCUUUCUAAUUGGAAAAUUUGGUGAAUGUUGACUUUAAAGUUAAUCAAGCUUAACUCCCAAUCGUGAAACAAUUGUAAACCCUUUAACCAUAUAUUAUAUAGGGUUGAACAUUGAAGUCUUACACUUAUUACGCUUAUUUAUGUCACUAUUUACAAAUAACGUUUUUUCAAACUUUAGUGGGGCAAGGGUAAAAUGUAAAAACUAGUAAGUUUUGGGGGGCAAGUAAUUAAUUGGGAAAAUAUUCGACAGCUUUCUCGAGAUUUGUCAUAAUAUUUCUUCACAUUCUUGAGGUUUGUAAAAUUUUCUCUUACCUCCCUUAUAUGUUUGAUAAGAGAAGGGAUGCACAUUAAAGAUGAUAAUUAAUGAUGUUACCCCGUUCAAUCUAAACAAUUGUUAUUGUUUAGCAAAAUCUAUCCAACAAAAAAUAACUUUUGAAGUAAAAAAAUGUAGACAACAAUUAACUAAAUGGCCAUACCAAAUGGGCAACAUUUUGGGCGUUAUUUUAAUUAGCUACUAAAUAAAAGUAGAAGUUCUGUUGGAGGUUUCAAAAUGCCUUAAGGUUAUAAUUUGACAUAUUUUGCUAGAAGAUUCUCUUUAAUUUUUGUAUUUUUGCCUAUUUUGCUACUAAAUUUGUUUGCUCAUCUUGAUCUAAUUUAUGCAGUUGAAGCAACUGUAGCACUAGCUACAAUGAUGAUUAAAAUAUAGGAAAAAUGAUCAGUUUCAUUCCUCAAAUUAUACAAAAAUAUUCUUUUUGUCUCUCACUUUUAAAAUAAAACAAAUUUGUUCUUGACAUUUAAAAAUUGAAACUAUUAUAUCCUUGAAAUCAAUUUUCAAUCUGAAUUUAACCACUCAACAACUCGAUUAUAAAUUUCAGGAAUAUAAUUGGUAGAUCACUUGGUUAAGUCAACUUAAUAUUCACAUGAAAUUUAAUAAACCCAAAAAGAAAAAUAGAAAAUUAUAACAUAAAACAGAAAAAUUAAUCUUUCCUGCAUGAUCAUUGUAUACAUUGACGGGAUUAAAUACUUGUCACCUCAUUUCAAUUUAAAUUUAAAUACCAAACUUUAUAUAUAUGAUAUACAUCUUGGGACAGCAAUACUCGGUAUGGCUCUUGACAAUAUACUGCAGCCCAAGUCAAGCUGGUCUGAGUUCAAUCAGGUAACAUUCUCCAAUUGACUGGUGUCAACCGGAUGAUAGGUUGGAAUCGCAUAAAUAGUAGUAAUAUCUCCUUUUCUUCUGUUAAUAGUGACUAUUUGGAUUAAAAACUGAAAUUCUAGUAAAUUGACUUAAAAGAUACAUUCUUUUUCUCAACCUCUUGCAUGUUCCAUGUUUUCAAGAAUGAAACUAUCCCAAAAAUUCUGGCCUAUAUAUAUCAAAAGAGACAUCAAACAAGGUUGUGAAAGCAUUUUUAAAUUGCAAUAUAUACAUCUUACUUAUCCAAGUUUCUCGUAUCACCCUUUUCUAGCGAUGUCCAGUAUAUUUCACUUCUUGUAAUUUUGAAUUUUGCUAUUAUUAAAACAUUUCUCCACAAAUUAUGCCAUCAAUAAAUGAAGGUAAGAUACAAAUGUGGCAAUAUGUCUAUCUUGCAUAUAUCGUGAAAAUUUGAAUGUUUUGACACAAAAUUUUGUUGUUAAAAUUAAGGAUAAAAAAUCAGGUUGACUCACAAACGAAUAAAUUAGUCAACUUUUAAUCCUUCAACUAUUAAGUAUAUACUGUUGUUUUGUAAAGGGUAUAUUUUGCACCCGGUUUGCUAGAGAUAAUUUUAGAAACCUCCACUAAAGUGCAUGUUAAUAUCGCUUGGAAUCCUUAAAGUUUCAAAAUAUCAUUAACCUCCCAUAAACGGUAUAGUUUUUAUGGGAGGUUUUUUUCCAUAAAAACUAUAUCGUUUAUAAUAAUCUCACCCUUGUAUUAUUAAAACAUUCUUAAAAUGAUUUCAAAUUCUACUCUUUUGUGUUAUCUUAUAUCGAAUUUUCUUCCAACUUGAUCAUAAAUAUAAGAUUUACAUAUUUUGCCUAACAAUUUCCUCUUCCAUAAUGUUUGCCUAAAAAUUGUUGAAGCAAUGAAGAUAAAUUUGUCAAUUUGUGUACUAUGCUAGUGAUCAACGGUCCCAUCUCAUUGAUAUAGGAGUCAAGUGAUUGUUCUGAAACUUUAAGUAUACCAAGUGAUAUUAUCAUUAACCUCAAGGAAAUUUUCUAAAAUUAUCUCUAGCGAAAAAUGUGAGGAAUUGAAGAUUAUACCAUUUUAUAAGGUUAAUGGGCAAAAGUAUGCACUUAAUAGUUUAAAAGCUUAUAAGUUUACUAACUAUAUUGUUUGAGGGUCGUUAAGAUAUUUUACCCUAAAAUUAAAUUGUAUUUUUCUUGUAAUUAUUUUAGUAUUUUUAUUGGAGACAUAUAGUUUUAUUUUAGUAAAUUUAGAAACAUCACCAGAUGUUUCCAACAGUAUUACUUGGCACUCUCAAUUUUUGAAAAAUCUUAUUUACCUCCAUUAUUUUAAGUUUUUUUUGUAACAUUGAAAAUCUAUUUCAAACUAUAAUAUUAAAAUACUCAUUUAGGAAAAAGAGAACAUAAUCUCAUUUUAGAUUUGCCUUUUUGUUACCAUAUUCUUUAGUGCAAAAACUUUUUUUUGUCAAUUAUACGUCUUAUUAAUAUAUAAAAAUAAAGAAGGAAAGGGCAUUAGACUAAAACUUCAAAUACAUGGUGAUUGAAAAAGGACAAAUAAAAGAAUAGUACUACUUCCUAACAUAUAUAAUAAUUUAAACACUUGAGUAUAUUAAUAAUAAUUUAAACACAAAAUCCAAAAGCUUGAAGGUUUGAUUCUAAUGGGAUCAAAUAUAGUGCACUUUUGAAAUACAAAAAGUUAAUAUUUCAAAAUUUAUUUGAAGUUUUUGCAAGUGAUAAAAGUAUUAUUUUGUUUAUUGUAAUGUGUACUAAGUUAAUUUAAAGACUUUUAUAAAUUGCUUUCUUUUUCUGAAUUUUUUAGUUCUUUGUCCCAAUCAAUGGUUUGAAAAUAAAAAAAUGUUGAAAAUUAUAUAUAAACUUGUUGUGAUGCUUUCAAGUUGGUACAAAAAGUUAGUUUCAUUAUUAUAAAAUAUUUCAAAUUAUUUUUACAAGUAUUAUAAAUUAUUUGUAAUUUUUUAAGUAUCUUAAUGUUUCUUGUCCAAACUAAUGAUGUGAAAAACUAUUAAAGGAUCUUUUGACUUCUUUAUCAACUUUUAAAUUUCAAUUAAAGAAUCAUAUUGACCAACUUUACUAAAAUCAAGAAAUAAAAUUAAUCUAUUAUGAUAAUUAAGAGUCCAUAAGUAAAGAGUAAAUUUAGAACGAGAUUAUAUUCUACAUUUUAAAAUGAAUUUUUUUAAUAUUAUAUUUUGAAGUGGAUUGCAAAAGUCGGAAAAAAAAAUAUAAAGUAGGGACGGAUUUUUCAAAGUAGGGUACCAAGUGCUACAUGUUAAACCUCAAAGGGAGGUUGAUGAAAUCAUCGUUUGUCGUUUUUUGUACUUUGCACAGCUUUUACGUACUUUGCUCAGCUCUUAUGUUUUGCACCGCUUCAAACCAGAAUCGCGUUCAAACAGAUUGGAAAUUGGGAUAAUUUCAGAAAACUUCCUAAGGUUUUUUAUAAUUUCACCUAGUGUUCUUAAGAUUUUAAAAAUUAUACGUACCUCUUUUAAAUUUAUCGUUUUGAUAAUAAAUACUAUUCAAUGGUUAAAAUUUUGAAUGAAUAACCCAAAAUAUCCUUAUGAAAUCGGGGAAGUUCAUUUUACCUUUUUAAAAAAUUUAGAAGAACAUGCAAAAAAUCACAUGCUCGCCUUCAACAUCCAUCUCUAUUAUUUUAACCUUGUCAUAUUUUCGCAUCUCAAAUUAAUACAAUUAUUAUCAUGACCACCACCACCAUUAAUCCCUAAAUUCUAAAAUUCCAAUUUAAGUUAAAAAAUGCAUUAGUAUUACACAUUAUUUCUGAAAUAUUAGGGUACCAACACUAGUUCCAUUCUUUUUAAACUUCAAUCUAUAUCUUAUUCUAUUCAUCUCCAAAUCCUUAAACAAAUUUUAAAUUAAUUUGUAAUAUAUUAAAAUUGUGUUUAGGACAAAAUUAGUUAUUCCACGAGUGAAUCUUAUUUUUAUUUGUAUUAAAUAUCUAAUUAUAUAAAAUGCAUUCAUAUGCAUAAGAUUAUGAGUGUUUAAUUGCAUAAAAAAUAUUAGUAAUAUAUUAAAAUUAUUAUGGUCAUUUUAUAGGACUAAGGGAAGUAAGUAUAAUUCUAAAAAUUUUAAGGGUAUUAGGUAAAAUUGUUAGUAAUCUCGGGGAAGGUUCUGAAAUUAUCCCUUGGAAAUAAUCUUGUCAGGGCAAGCAAGGGACCGCACUAACCUUUGACCUACCGUAGCCACCUCCUCCCUUGAGUUUGCCUUUCAUCCUUCCGUUGUCCUCUCCUCCCCAAAAUUUUACAUGCCAGCCUCCUCGUCUUCUACGCCCUUUCAUUUUUCCUUCUCCUUUUCUUGAAUCUCUGCCACCCACUUGCUGUUUAGUGAAGAGUUAUGAAAGAGAGAAUUUUGGGUUAAAGAUUGAUUUGUUAUCUCUGUCUGCAAUUUCUCAUAAAUUGUAUGCGGGUAGGUUUUUUUUUUUUUUGCAUCAAUAUAUUAAAAUUUGUUCAUACCCUAAAAGUCUCCGAGUCGUUCAUGGAUAUCUGAUGAGUCAGUACGGGUUGACUCGGAUGCUCUUUUGGGUCCGGGAGUCUACUCAGCCCGAAUCUUCCGAGUCUGAACGAAUUCGCACCGGGUCUACUAUCUCCGGUGACGACUCAGCCGGAUCUACUGGGACUCGGCCGAGUCUUUGAACCAUGGACUCACGUACAUGCCUAAUCUGUCAUGCAUUUUUCUUAUUAUGCAAUUUUUGGGUGAACGGUGCAUCAAAAAAUAAGGAUGCCCUGAGAAGAGAGCCAGUUUGAAAAGGUGACAAGUCGAGACCUUUGGCAAUCUUUUUUAGCAGACAGAGACACAAAAACAUAAACGAACGAUCUUUUUUCUUUUCUCCUUGGUGCGAUCAACUUUUGUCUCACUUAAUUGAUUUGAUUUAUGCAAAUGCUCUCUCAGACGUCUGCAGCCGUGUGGUUUUUCCAGCAGGACAAAAAAUCAGAGAAUUUUUUCUGGCAGCUGAGCUGAUUUUGGAUAAGGCAGAAUGGAAGGGGUAUGUAUGAGUAUGAUAACUCCCUUGCUGCAUCGCAUCAUCUUAGAACUUUAUUUUUGUCUUAUAUAAAGUUGCUUACCUGUUGUUUCCGGAGGAACAGGAAGAAGACGCAACGACCUCUCCUUGUGAUUCUUUUUAAUGCCCCAUUUUUUGUGUUCAACGACCUCACUGGCCACGUCAAUAUCUGAAAUUUUUAAAUUUCAUCACAAAGUCACAGAACUGGAACAUUUGCCGGAUGAUGGUAAAAUGAAACAAAAAAAGUGCCAUACGAAAAUUUAAACGAAUUAGUGAUACAACUGACGGGAAAAGUCAAAGAGUGUUGUAAUGAAGGUGACGUAUACAUGACCUGCGUCGGCGUCCGUAAUAUUCUUGGAAUAGAGGUAAAUUUAAUUAUUAUUAUUAAUUAAAAAAGGGGAGCAUAAUUGGUGCAUACUGACCGAUUGAAUUCGAAAUUGAAUUUGAUAAUUUGAAUCCACUAUGAUGAUAAUUCAGUUUGUGCGCUGGAUUCGAAAAGAACAUUUAGUAUGUAAAUUAAGGAGAAAGAAGUAGUAAUAUGUGAAAUUUUGUAUUAUUUUGGGCUACAAAUUAGAAAUAAAAAUGAUACUAUUGAGAAAGAUAAGUGAUAAAAAGGAUUCAGGGUCUAACAAAAUUGAAUUUGAUGACAUCGUUUUAUUUUAUUUUUUAUUUUUUGUGAAAACGAUUAUACCAUUUUCAGCUUUGAAUUCCAAAAGAGAUAUAGGUACAAGAUAUUUGGAGCUCAAAUAACAGAUAGCAUCGAUUUUAUUGUACUGAGGUACCAAUUUUGUACCAUGGCACACUUCUAAGUAAUGAUUGUAUACUACAUAGGCAUGAGACUAACAAAAUUGCUGUUGAUUAUAGUUAUUUUUUUUAAUUAAUUUUUAGAUGAUAUCUUAUGCAGCAUGUUGGUUUAUCAGUACGACUUCUGUGAUAUCUAUCUAUCCUUUUGAGAACUUGAGAUACAAUGCAAAUAUUUAAACACCGGCGUGGUCCUAAAGAAAGAAAGAAGAUGUGUACUGCUAAGCAUGUAAUAUCUAAUAUCUUGUAUUUUAGUCACUUGUAAUAUUUAAUAUCUUGUAUUUUAGUCACUUGUAUCGUUGCAUUUUCUUUCUUUUCUUUCUUCCUUCCUUCCUUCCACAAGUGACUAAAAUACAAGAUAUUAGAUAUUAUGCUUAGCCGCACACAGCUUCUAACAAUGAUGUAACAUGAGAAAAGUGACUAAAUUACAAGAUAUUAGACAUUACAUGCUUAGCAGCAUGCAUCUUCUAAUAAUGAUGUAACAUGAAAAAGGAAGGAAGGAAGGAAGAAAGAAAGGAAAGAAAAUGCAACGAGAUAAGUGACUAAAAUACAAGAUAUCAGACAUUACAUGCUUGGUAGCAGACAUAUUCUUUUUCAUGUUACAUCACAUUUCAUGCUUGGUAGCAGACAUCUUCUUUCUCUUGUUACAUCACUUAUCUUGUAUUUGAGUCAUUUAUCUCAUUGCAUUUUCUUUCCUUUCUUCCUUCCUUUCUCAUGUUACAUCAUGAUUAGAGUUGGGUUAUAUUCUUGACUCCCAUCUUUGGUGUCAUAAUACUAAAUUUGAUCAAUUUCUUGCUACAGGGUGAAGUGAUUAGACUCCCUAUAGAGUCUGGGACGCUUGAAGUCUCUAUACACUUAUAGCACUUAGGCAAGAUUAGUUUAGACAGUUUUUGUUUAUGUAUUGCCAAGUGGCUAAGGCAAAUUAUCUAACUUCAAAUUUCUGUAAAUUAAGUGACUUAAGAUCAUCCGUGUGUACACUUAGAUGAUCUGAAUGAAAUAGCAUGACAGCAUGAUCUUCUGCGGCCACAUGAAUAUUUCAACGUGAUUCACCCACAUAUGUUGCUUCUCCCAAGUUUUAGGUUUUAUUUAUAAAUUGGGAAAAUUAGAUUGCUCGCUUGAAAUUUCUUAUGUUGUUUUGUUUAUUUGUACAACUAUUUCGAUCAUCAUGAAUGUUGAAAUAUGGUCCUUGCCUCUGAGUUUGUGCUUUUUCUAGACUCCAAGAGUAACUGUGUUGGUUCUCUCUCUCUCUAUGAUUCUUAUUAUUUUCUAUUAAAGCAGAGGGUACACACUUUUCGGCGCCCAGAAGGAUAUGUGAAUGAAGAAAUGGAAGACUAUAUCAAGAAUUUUUAUCCUUCCCUAGAAGAAGAAAUUACUUUUGCUGUCUCUCUUGAUAAGAAAGAAACAUUUGUUACUUUGAUAAAUGGGAUAACCAACAAAAAUGAUAUACCUCGAUGGUGUGUGGAUCAUAUGUUUCGCUUUGACUGCAUAAAUUGUGUGGAUGCUGUUCUGAAUGGAGAAAUGACAGGAAAAAUUGAUUUUACUGUUGAUGCUGUUCCACACAAGAACCGUGGGGAACUUCCUGCAUUGCAUAAAGCAGCUACUAGUCUGGCCUGUAAACUGACUGAGUUAUUUCUUGGUAUUACGGAUCAAGCAAAUGUCAGAUUGGAUUUUAAGGAUGUAAAAGGUUGGUUGCCGCUGAAUUUUGCUCUGAAGAAGUUAAGGUAUGAUUUACUUCUACAUAGAUGAUGCCAACAUUAGUUGCUGUGUUUCUGAUCCUGUUUAUGAUAGUAAAGUAUAAAUCAGAUGGAAGAUCUACAAAAUUAGUUUGACUGGAUGGUUUUGUUGUAUCCCUUUCACACAUCACAGGUCUUCAAGCUUGAUGCCUGUGUGGAUAAAUUCUAAAGGAGACGAGGAUACAUCCUACUGGAUGGCUAAUUCAAUACCACAGGGACCAACUGAGAUGGUCUUCAAGUUACUUUAUCGUCUGCUUUGUCCGUUUUCGGUUUGUACUCAUAUUAGGCUUUGUUAUUUUCAUUUUUUUUGUUAAGCAUAUGUUUUGGUUUCUUUAAAGGUUUAAUUUAUAUAGGUAACUUAAUAUUGAUGCAUGUUGUUGCUAUAUCUGUAGUACUGGAAAUCGCAUGAAGACUCAAAGCCACUUAUGAUCCCCUUGGAGUAGUUCUGAAUACUCCCCUUCUAUUUGCCUUUCCCGUGACUUGUUUCCUUUCUCCCCUCCCCCAGCUCUGUUUAUCUGAGAAAUUUUGCAUAUGGCUCUGGUGCAACUAUCUGAAUUUGCAACGUUAAUCCGUGUUAAGGUGCUCAAUAUUUGUUAUUAAUUAAUAACAUUUUGUUUCAGCAAAUGGUCUGUCUCUGUUCCAAAAUUUGAAAUUGGGGAAAAGGUUCUGCGUUUCAUUCGUUUUCUCUUCUUUUCCUGUUUGUGCAUUUGCACAAGACUGUCAUUUCAUGUGUAUGGAUUUCCCUUCUGUUUUGUGGGAGGCGUAUAUGCAGUAAAUGAAACUUUUUGUAUGGGAUUUGUUAAGGCAUGGUUAUAAUAAGAACAGUAAUUGAGAAUUCAAGUCAGAUUAUGGUUGUAGUUUCAAUAGGUGUCACGAUUGAUGUCUGCAGCAAUUAUCUCAUCUUUUUCUUUUUUGUUGCUGGGACAGAGAGCUGCUCUGGAAGUUGUGAGAUUGCUGGCGCAGAAGACCAAAGAAGUUGAAUUUGAGUUUUUUAAAUAUGUGAAAGAGCAGAAACUGGUUGAAUUAGCAGGCUUGUUGUUGGUGGCUCAUGAAAAGGUUAUGCCAGGUUUAGAAGAAUGUAUGAAGAUCCGCAAUUUUGUCUUGAAAGAAGCUGCAUUUCUGAAUUUACAAGAAAUCAGGUCCUUGUAUGGCUCUGGUGAUGAGAAGUCCCUACAAGAGGCAAAAAAGAAGAAGGUGGAGAUGGAGGCAAUACUAUUAUUACUUGAAGUAUUUGACAGAAUUGGUGAUAAACUUUCAGCUUAUCUUCAGAUAGUGCGAAAACAGGUAUUGACUAGUUUUACUUCUUCAAGGAUUGAGGUGGUCACUAGUUUAAACUAAAUCCUAAUAGUUAAACUAGAGAAGCAUACAACGUGUACUCCAAGCUUCUCUUCUUUGGUUGUGUUGACGUCAUUAUAUUGUUCAACAAAUUCGGUGUUAUGUUCCACUUUUUGAAUUUUGGAUGUGAGAUUCGAUGCAUGUGACUUGUAUUUCUGUGAUAGGUGAGAGUGGAAUAUCGCGCCAAAGAAAUUGGCUGGAUCUUGGAGAAAGCUGGAUUUUCCAUGAAGCUUGAACUUUUUGAUGAAACAUGCAGGUUUUGGUGUUAAGGACUUUUUCCCUCCCCCACUACCUUUUCUCUGAGUAUGUAGUGAUACUGUACCACAGUACAUGGACUUAUUCCAAACAGAGUUUUCCUUGCAGCUUAACAUGACAGAAUUUAGCAUGAGAAGUAAAAGGAUCUGACAACUGCAUUUCGGUGAUAACAUCAUCCCCUGAAACACUUAACUUUGUACUGGAAUUGCGCAGAGUAGAAAACUAUAGUUAUCGUUAUGGUGCUCAGACAACGGCAACUUGUUAUGUUUUAGAUUGAGAUGCAUUGUGCUUACUAAAAUAUCUGAAUGUAGCCCAGGUUGCUUGCUUAGAACUCAGACAUUUUUAUGUCAAACUCUAGCUUAUUGCUUAGCUUUAAUUCCUAUUCCUAUGCCAAGGAUCCAGUCUAAGUGCAAUUCCAAUUCCCAAGUGCAGCACUUGUAUUUAUGAUGUUUGCUGUUUGCAUUUGAUUGGCUCAUAUUGACGUAGUCUUACUAUUUAACUCUAUAACUAGUUCUUGCCCUUCUCACACUGCAAAAAUUUGCAGGGAAAGAAUUGAGUAUGGGUGGUAUUUACCUUUUCUAGGUGAUUCUUUCGUACUUUCUCAUGCAAACAUGUUUUUUAAACUUAUAAAGGUGAAUUGGCUCAAGAAUUGCCAUUAACUUGUGUAAUGAUGCAAAAUACAGGGGACACAGGUGCAGAAGACACCUUUUACAUUCUUAAUCGCAUCAAACGUUUGGAGUCACAUAAGAUGGCUUUCGGUUAUCGAAAAGUAUGUCAGUUAUGUACAUCACGUCCUAUAUUCUUUAGUUCCGGUUGUUUUUGGCUCUACCUUAGUCUCUUGGACCAUAACCUUUGUUGCAUAUAGCUGGUUCAUUUGCAUUACACUGAAACUCGAGACCAUAGCACAAUUCAGGCCAUUACAAUAUUCAUUUAAAUCAACAUCAUAGAAAUUUGAAGAAAAUGGUAACUUGUUAUGUCCUGAAGUAAACUAAUACUGUCAUUCAAUUUCCUGCCUAUAUCUCUGAUGCUAUUCUGAUCUAAAUCUUGUAGUAUGAUACCUGAAUAGGAUUUUGUACAUUGAUACUGGAUACAUGGUCCAACUAAAGUACUUCUGCUGCUUGUCUCAUUUUAUAAGCUGCCUUCAAUCUGUGGGACACCUAAUCAGCAAGUUGUAGCAUCUUCAAGUAGCUGCUUCCAUUGGUUACCAGCUUCUGCUCUAAAAUCAUUUCAUACAUUCCAUCCUGUGAGAGCCAGUGGUCGGUGUUCUGGUUCUGCUACAUGGGAGAAUAAAGCAUGCAACUGGUUGUGGGAUUUGCCAUGCAAACGUGGUCUUCUUAGAGAUAGCCAGGAUCUCCCUUCAGCCAAUAGGGUGCUAAACAUGCAAUACAGGAAGGUAUGGGCUUGUGUUGUGGCAACUUUAAAAAGGGGAACAAGGCUCAUCUGAACGAUUAUUGAGGUGGCCCUUAUUUUUCCUCCGUAUUGGUAGUAUUGGUGUUAUGUCUGGGGCCCGUAUUUCUUACUCUUGUUUAAUGGAAUGUUUUGAAGUAUUGGAGAUCUUAGCAUUUGUUCAAGUAGUUGAGUGUAAACAAUGAUAACCUACUAUUGUAUGACUAUUCUGCACCUCUCUUGAAGGUUCUUAGUAGGAAGAUGGCUGCCAAUGACUUUGUGUUCUUGGCCCUUUCUGCUAUGAAAUUUAUACCUUUGAAAUCACUAUUUCCUUACGUUUCAGCAUAUUAAAGUUUCAUGAUAUGUUGAACUGCAGGAUUGAUUUUUUGUUGAGUCAGUAUCUCUUAACGUGCCUGAAAUUGGUUUGGCACUUCUGUAUUUGCUUCCUUAGCGAUAAUUGCACGGCAUAUAUUGUUAGCUGCCGUUGUUGCUAUUGAAAGGAAUCGUCUUGCUGAAAAUGUUGCAAGGACCAUAUUUCUUCUGUUUCUAGCUAAAAUUAAAGACAUCGCAUUUGAUUGCUUGGAUGGUGUACGUAUGCAUAAGUUUGCUCGUUGUCUAAAUGACUAAGAGGCUCUAAAUCCCUAUGGCUCGUGGUUUUGUCUCGCAUCUCUUCUGUAGUUUCAUGCAAACAUGGUGAAGCUUUAAUUCAUUGGGCUUGUACUUUGUACUGAACUCGAUAACUGACUAAUUUUCAAAAUGACUAAUUUAAAGUUAUCAAUAUACUAUUCCUUUUCUCUUCUUCGAACCGAUGUCAAUUCAAAAUGUCAUCGGGUGCAAAUUCUAGAGGUGAUUUGCAUGGGUUUUAGAGGUGACCUCGUCUGAUGUGGCAUUCUAAAUAUAAGUCAUACGAAUUUUAGAGGUAGUCUCCAUCUUAUGUGGCACUUGGUUAUUAAGAUUUUAGAUGUGACUUCCCAUCGAAUGUGGUAUUUAAUCCCUCGUACUUCCCCACAUAGUCCAUCAAAUGUGGCACUUAAUCCCUUGUAAGCCCUUCAUUGAAUGUGAUACUUAUUUGCACUGCGUCGCAUAGUCGAGUGGCCCCUAUCGAACAUGGUAUUUUACCCCUUGUACCUUCUUGUAUAGUCAGUCGAUAUCAAUUCAAACUGUCAUCAUGUGUAAGCCUCCAAUCGGAUGUGAUACUUAAUCGCUUGCACUUCCUCGUAUAGCCUAAUGGCCCUCAUCAAACAUGACAUUUAGCCUUUUGCACUUUCUUGUAUAGUAGGAGCCAAUGUCAAUUCAAACUGUCAUCGUGUGUGAAUUCUAGAAGUAAUUUGCACGGGUUUUAGAUGUGAUCUCUUCUAAUGUGGCAUUCUAGAUAUGGCUCAAACGGAUUUUAGAGAUAGCCCCUGUCUAAUGUGGCACUUAGUCGUUUAGAUUAUAGAGGUGGCUCCUUAUUGAACGUGAUACUUAGCCCCUUGCACUUUCUCACAUAGUCCAUCGAACGUUGCACUUAAUUCCAUGUAAACCUCCCAUCGAAUGUGGUACUUAAUCCCAUGCACUUCCUCACAUAGUCGAGUGGCCCCCAUCGCAUAGUCGGAUUUUAGAGGUGACCUCGUCUGAUGUGGCAUUCUAGAUAUGGUACGUACAAGUUUUAGAGGUAACUCCCAUCUGAUAUGGCAUUUAGCCCUUCAGAUUCUAGAGGUUACCAUAACCCACUGACUUUGAUUCACCUUGCACUUCCUCACAUAGUCCAUCAAACAUGGCACUUAAUUCCUUGCAUGCCCUCUAUCGAACGUGGCAUUUAGCCCAUUGUAUUUUCUUAUAUAGUCAGAAUCAUAAUUCAUUGACUCAGAUUCACCUCGCGCAAAGACCACGCGGGAUUCGGUCUAAUACUAUUUGUAAUGCCCUGCACCAAACGAAUGCACUAAAGCACUCGCUAAUAAUGAUGAAUUCUUUGAUACUAGCAAAGGGAUUUGAUCCCUCAACCAAUUAAUCUUCCUAACCGGUUUGGCUGCUGGUUGUUUUGUGGUUCUAGUGGGUCCCAUCAUCCUUUUCAGCCAUAAACAUAUUUCUUGAUCCACUUUUUAUUUCAAACACAGUGCAUGUGUUUGGAUAGUUAAUUUGUUUAAAUAAUAUUUUGUUUAUAUCAUAAACACAUUUCUCGGCCUACAUUUCUAUAUUUUCAAUCAUUUUUUUAUUUCACAUACAUCAUAUCAUAAAAAGUGUUACAGUAAUUAUUUCAUAUUUGAAAUAAUGGUGUAUUAUUUAGAAUAUUAUUCAAAAUAAUUAUUAUAGCACUUUUUGUAAUUUGAUGUAUAUGAGAUAAAAAGGUGGUUAAAAAUAUUAAAAAGGUGGGUUAAAAAAUAUAUUUAUAAUGCAAGCGAAAUAUUAUUUGAAAAAUUUGGUAUCCAAACCACUUUUGAGUAAACUGAUUUUACGUUAGUCAUGGUAAUCCAUUUGUUGUGGAUAAAUGGCAGAUACAUUUUAAGUCAUUUGUGCGGUGCGACAUCCUGCCUGAUUUUAUAUAAUAAUAAUAAUAAUAAUAAUAAUCAAGUUGAAGUGCAACCACCAGUGGUUAAGGGAAGGCUCUCAAGGCUUUUCCCUUUGUCAGAUAAGUUGGAACUCUUGUCCUUUUGGACGCGUUUGCAAGGCACCCGUGUGUAACCAAUAACAGAAAAAGAAAAAGCACUCACUUGCACGGUUGCACCCGUACGUAACCAAUAACAGAAAAAGAAAAAGCCCUCUCACUUAUGCACGAGCGCCAAGGUGAACCUCUGAAAAUUAGAGAGAAUAUUCUUUAAAAAAUUAAAUGACCUUAACAGGAUCUAAUUAGGCAAAGAGGCAAAGGUUACCCUUUAUGAAUGAGAUUCAAAAUACGCCAUCCAAUGACCUUAACAGUUUUAUUGGUUGACGCACAAAUUUGUCUUGAAGAUGGUAUAGAGCUGGUUUUAGACUUCAGAAGAGCCUUUAGAAGAAUCAUUUAAUUUAGGGUGUUAAUCACUUUAUUUCUUGAUUUUUUGCGGCUCUCUCACUUGAUUCCGUACCGUUUUGAUCACUUAACCCACUUAAAAGACCUUCUUAAAAAGAAAAAUUACAGUGCUAAAGAAUGCAUAUCCCUUCUUUUUGCUCUUGCUGUAGUUUUUGAAGAAUAAGGGUGAUUUGGUUGGUUAUUGAUGAUUGCUUGUUCGUUCACACUGGCAAAUGUCUGGUGCAGAGAUGAUGUAAAGAAUUAUAGACAAAUAAGAUCAGAUUUGUUGCAAUUGUAAAGGAAUAUUUUAGACUACGGGAUCAUGUUAUUCAUGUUUGUUGAUUUUCAAACACAAGAUGUGAAUUCACUUCUUACGGGUUUUGGCAAGAGCAAUCAUUUUCAGUCUUCUAAAGUAUCGUAGCAGUCGUUGAAGCAGCAGCACCAUUGGGUCUUCCUUUUAUCUACUCUCUUUAUGCAACUGCUUAUGUUGAUGUUUGCUAUGAUAUCUGUGGCUGUAGCUGCAAUUUUCUGUUCUUUCUCAUUGCUUAAAUCUUUGCCUGUGGAAAGUGACCAGAAGAUCCAAAACAAGACAAAAGAAAUAGUAUUAGUCAUUACUUAUGACCCAUGUUACUAUAUAUAUAUAUAUAUGAAAGUAGCUAUUUUAAUCAUAAUAUUUUUCACUCCUAUAUGACAUGUCUAAUUGAAGAGAAUUAACGAGUUAUGGAUCACUUGAGUUUUAUCCAUAUUGAAUCCUAUUGGGAUUAUAUCAUGUGUUUAAAAAUUAUCUCUAAUUUUAAAAUAACUCUAAAAAAUAACUUAUCUUAUUUUAAUGAUAUAUGCUUUCUAUCAAAUUAUUACAAUGAUUAUAUUAUAUGUUUAAAAUUAUUUUUAAUUUUAAAACAAUUUUAAAAAGUAACUAAUCUUAUCUUGACUAUAUCUGUUUUCUACCAAAUUAUUAUAUGGAAGUAUAAUAAAACCUUUUUGAACAAUUAUUGAAAUUUUACAUAUCCUAUAAAUCACUUCCUUUCACUACCAUAUCAUUGAUUAGUAUUCAAAUUAUUCAUCAUCUCUUCUUAAUUUUGAAUUAACUUAGUUUAAAAAAGAGAAUUAACUGUUACACCAAUAGAUUUACCAAUAUUAUUGAAAAUUGAAUAUUUAUUGAUGAAGAAAAAUGGAUUAAUGGAUAUUUUUCUACUUAAUUAAGUAUGAAUAUAUAAUUCUAGAUUUAUAGUCAUUAUAGAAAUUUAAAUUAUCUAAAAAAAUAUCUAUAAGAAAGAAUAUCUACCAAAUUUUGGACGUGGAGCACAUUUGAUGUAUACUAUCACAUUAUAGUGAAAGUAUAUAAAUUUUUUUAAAAAUUAGUAAAUAAUUAAAAAUUUAAAAUACAUUAAUUUUUUAAAUUAAUAUGAAUGAACGUGUAGAACUAUUGUUAAUUUUUAUAUUUAAAUUAUUCAUAUUUUUAUAAAUUCACAAUAAAUAAAAAAAAACUGUACUAAGGCACGGGCAAAAUUUUAGUUGAGUAUUAGAAGUGUAACGUAGUAGUUAAGUAGCGAACUGAAAAUGUCAAAACAAAUACCAGUAUGUGACUUUGUUUUUUCAUUAAUAAUAAUUGAGCAGAAAAAUUGUUCAAAACAUUCUUUAUAUUUUGUAAAAUAACUUUUUUCAUGUGACUUUGUUUUUUCAUUAAUAAUAGUUAAGUAGCGAACUGAAAAUGUCAAAACAAAUAGCAGUAUGUGACUUUGUUUUUUCAUUAAUAAUAAUUGAGCAGAAAAAUUGUUCAAAACAUUCUUUAUAUUUUGUAAAAUAACUUUUUUCGUUUCUUACUUUUAAAAGUGUACUUUUACAUCCCUUAUAAAUUCACAUUGAUCAAAUUUGGUCCCUACCUAAAUUUUCGACUAGUGUUUUAUUGGAAUUUAUCACAUGCCUUGCAUGUGAUCAAUUUUUAAAGAUAAAAUUAUCAAAUUAAAAUUUACAUAAUCCAUCUAUAGUCCCUUAUAUUUUGCAAAAUGAAUUAUUUUGUCCAUCACAUUUUACAAAAUAAUUUUUUCAUCUCUCACAUUUUACAAAAUAAAUUUUUUCAUCCCUCAUUGACCAUGUGUAUGAAUAGUUUUUUUAAAUCUAUGUAUAUAUCUAUUUGACUUCACUUAAACAGUACGAAAGUAUGUAAUAUAUCUCUAUUUGAUUUCACUUAAAUAGACUAAUUAUAAUUGUACAUAUGCUAUUCAAUACAUAUAUGCAUGAGUUUAAAUCUAAUAAUUUUAUUUUAAACCCAUAUAUAUAUAUAAUAUCUAUUUGAUUUUACCAUGUGAAUCUAUUCAAUAUUUGUAACCUUUUCUAUUUUGGUAAUAAUUCAUUUAUUGAGUUAUAUAAUAAGGUCAUCAAUUAAUCGUUCCUAAGUCAAAUUCUAUAGUCAUGCUAAUAAAUUGCUGUUUAAAUUUAAAAUUUUAACUCGCCAUUUUUAAAACCAACAGUUGAAUUUCUUACCUUGUGAUAAUUUGAAAGUAUCAAUCACUUACUUCUUUUUGUCAUACUUUUUCUUUGUUUAUUUUUUCUGUCCAAUUUUAAUUCUAUAUAAAUACUUGAUAAUUUUUUUGAAUUAAAUGUCUUUUUUAUUUUCAAUUUUUGAGUGAAAGAAAAUGAACAUGAGUAAAAAACUAAUAAUUUUUUUAAACUCUUGUAUAUAUCUAUUUUAAUUUCACCCGAACAGUACGUUUAGGUGAAAUUAAAUAGAGAUGUAUUACAUGCUAUUCGUAUUAUUCAGGUGAAAUCAAAUAAAUAUAUACAUGAGUUUUUAAAAAAAAUUAUUCGUACAUAUGAUCAAUAAAAGAUGAAAAAAUUUAUUUUGUAAAAUAGGAGAGAUGAAAAAUUCAUUUUGUGAAAUGUGAGGGAUUAUGGAUCAGAUUAUGUAAUUUUUGAUUUAAUAAUUUUGCUCUUAAAAAAUAAUCACGUGUAAGGUACGUGGUGGAUUCUGACAAAAAAUUAGUCGAAAACUUAGAUAGAGAUCAAAUUUGACCAAUGUGAAUUUGUAAGGGACGUAAAAGUACAUUUUAAAAGUGAGGGACGAAAAAAGUUAUUUUGUAAAAUGAAAGAGACGUUUUGAACAAUUUCCCUAAUUGUGCAACUAGAGAUUAAGCAAAAUGUGUACGUACAUUCAUGAAGUGCCAAGAGAAUAGCAAAGUUGAUACAAAGAAUAAAGCAAUACGAGGGUUUUGAAGCGGCCAUUGAACUGAUUGGUUUGUUACUUGUUAGUCCGCUGUUACCAGGGGGUAAGCAGUGAGUUUUUUCGGGUUUUCAUAUAGUAAGAGAAACUACACCAAGAUCUUGAAUUCUCAUCACAAUCUUUUUGUUAGAGCGAUUUUUACACAAAUGUCAAAAUUACCUUCAAUUAAUCAAUUAUAUACAUAUUCUCACCGAAUUUCAUUUGAUCCAUUAUGCACUAAUAACUCUUUUUUCUUCUUUUUAAUUAAUUUUUUCCUACUAUUCUUUGUCGCUCUCCAGCUUACUUCUUUUCUCACUCACACACCAAUACUUCACUAGUGGGGCUAAAAGGGAGCCUUUAUUUUUUAGGGUAAUAUCUAAAACCUCCAUUGAGGUUUCUAAUAAUAUUAUUUAGUGUAAUCUCUCAUUUUUCAGGGUAAUCUCUCAUUUUUGUUAAAAAUUGUUAGCUUCGAUAGAUUUUUUUCGGGCAGACCCUACCUAGAUCCGAAACAUAUAGUAGAAGACUCGUUAGGUAAACGAGUCGGAUUUGGGUCCGAAAUAAUGAAUUCUGGCUCGGACCUAACCCGUUGAUAGGCCUACCUUCUUUUUUCCCACAAACGAUAAUAGAUUUAUAUAUGAUAACCACUUGAUAAUAUAAGAUUUAAUUACAAAAAGGGGCUACUACCCUUAUUUCCUUUCUCACUAAAUCCAUCAGCCAAAUUGGGAAAUCUUGUUCCCAUUCAAUAUCAUACACUAGCUUAACAGCAAAUUGGGCUAGAGCAUGGCUGAUUUCAUUUUCUGAUCUAGGUAUAAACACAAACCUACAACUUUCAAAAUGUGUUCUAAGUUCCUGCACAUCUUCCAGAAUAGUUGCAAUGCUGAAUUCAUAGUCAUUGCUUCUAGUUAUCUGGUCUAUUACUGAUUUGCUAUCAGAAUGGACGCAAAUUGAGGAAAUUAUGAAAAGACGCAAGGAUUUGAGAAUCCAGACCGGCCGCUGAUUUCCCUGCACAUCCAAGAUUGCAAAAAAUUGUUCGACCAUAUCUCGAACAGAAAUCAUUCGCCUCCAUACCCUGGAAAUACUUGGCGCAUUAAUGUCACUCUAUCGGGGUUGCAUAAAAGUAGCCAACAACGAGUUUGAACAGCGAAAGAUUCUCCUUGCAUAUGUGUGCGACGAUUGUUUUGAUUUCUUCACAUAUUAUCCACAGUUAGACGUUUACCUGAUUGUAUUUCAACCACUCCGAAGUACAUCACUGUUAUUGCCUUCAAAAUCUACAAAUACACUUCUCAUCGUUGUUGUCUUUAGAAAAAACUACAAGUACGUUUUCUCCCUUUCCUGCAUUUUUCCCAGUUUGAAAUUUUGUUCUAUAUCAUCCAUGAUUUAAUAUAUUGUUUUUCUACCCGGAGAUUUGAUUCCCAGUUACUAUCAUAUAUUAUUGCGUUGUAAUUAUUCUAUAGGAUCAAGUAAUUACACAUCUUUCUGCAUCAUGAUCCUUUCCUCUUUUUUUUAAUGAAUUUUUUCUCAUAUUGUACCCACGAAUUGUCAUCAUUCUUAAUCUUCUUUCUCCUCAUAUUUCCUUCUUUCCUUUAUUUUUUUUUGGGUUUUUUUUGUUAAUAUCAUUUUUUUUCUCAUGCACGCACAUGGAUGUGUCUCUGUUAGGACUGCAAACGAAUCGAAUCGAGUCAAGUCGAGUUUUGGUCUAAUCAAGUCGAGUCUUGACUUAAUUUUAGUGAACUCGAACUCGAGCUCAAACUCGAAAAAAAUAAAAAUAAUUAUUUUAUUUUUAAAAAAUAAAUAAAAUAAUAUUUUUUCUUAAUAAAUAAUAAAAUAUUAAGGAUAUAUAUGUAAUUUUACUAUUAAAAUAAUAUAUAUACUUAAAAUAAAAAAAUAUAUACUUAAAAUAAAAAAUAAAAAAUAAUACUCCCUCCGUCCGACUUUGAUAGUCCCAUUUCUUUUUUCACACAGUUUAAGAAAAAGUAGUUAACUUUGUUGGAAAAGUAAAUUUAGAUUGCUAUUUUCCUAAAAUAUCCUCACAUUAAAUAUGGUACAACUUUGUGGGAACUUGAAUUGAUGGUAAAAAAAGAAUCAACUCUCAUUAAAUGGAGUAAGUUUAUAGUAACAACAACUUACAUUGAAUAAGGGUAUUUUAGGAAAAUUAAAAUACAACUACAUUCUUCAAUUGGAAAGUGGACUACAAUUUGGGACAGGCGAAAAAGGAAAACGGGACUAUCAAAGUGGGACGGAUGGAGUAUAUAUAUAUACUCGAACUCACGAGCCUAAUGAGCUUAAUAUCUUGAGCUCGAAUUCGACUCCAGCUUGACUCGCUCGCGAGUGGCUCGGUUUGUUUGCAGCCCUAGUCUCUAUCACUAGCAUUAAUAAAAACUUGAAAUUAAAAAAAAUAGUUGGAAUGUAGAAUUCCAAUGGAACAAAAUAUGGUAGCUUCUGUCAUAAGAAAGACGUGUUUUUAAGGUACAAAAAAUUUCUCCUUAAAAGCUUGUUCAAGGCAUUUUCAAGCCACAUAAAAGUUAACUUCUUUGCUGUAGAGCAUUUUCAAUAAAUUUAAGGAGUUUUAUAAAUUUUUAGAAUUCUUAAAAUUUCAAGUAUUCCUAGAUCCACUGCUUGAAAUCUAGAAAAAGACAAAGUGUUUAUAUUUAUGUUUACAAACUUAUUUGAGGUGUUUCCAAAAUUUAAAUAAAAGAACUAUUUUCUUCAUUUUAAUUUUUUUGGUGAUUUUACAAGUUUUUUAAGUUAUAAAAAAAGAUUAAUUUCUUUAUGUAAAGUAUUUGGGUUGAAUUUAAGGCGUUUCAUAAGAAGUUUAUAACUUUUUGAACAUUCUAAUACUGUGUGAUUUUGUCUAGAUAGAUGAUUUGAAAACUAGAAAAAGAUUAAUUGCUUAAAUUAUACUUAAAAAUUAGUUAAUUUGUUUUCAAGGUGUAAAAGGUAAUUUUUUUCAUUGAAGCAUAUUUUUUAUUAAUUUUACAAGGUUUUUAAAUUAUUGAAAAUCUUUGAGUUUUUUAAUUUUCUUGCCCAGGGGACACGAAAAAUGUUAUAAAAUCUUUCAACUUCAUUAACAAUUUGUCAUUCACCCUUAAAAUACCAUAUUGGUUAAGUUUUCAAAAAAUCAAGGGAUUAAAUUUAUUUGCUAUAAAAAUUAAAGGACCACAAGAAAAUGACAAUUGAAAAAUGAAAUUAUCUUCUAUGGUUUUUAAUCAUAUGUUUUAAAAUGUGUAGAUAGUUUUACAAUAAAAAAAUAAUUUUAGGAGUAGAGGAGAUAAGUGUUAUUUUUGAAACUUUACAAGUGCUAAGUAGUUCUUAAAAUGUUUUAGGGAAGCUUUUUGCAAUUAUCCCGAACUUUUAUUCCAAAGUACAUCUCUUGGAGCAUCUUAGUGGAAUGGGUGCGAGUACAAAAGCAGCAUAAUGUUAGAAAUCCUUCCUUAAAUCCAGUUUCUAGUAAAAAAAAGGAAGAAAUCUUCUCUAGUAGCAUAUAAGUUUUUUUUUUUGUUCUCAAAAUUCCGGAGUCGUUUUUCUUUAUUUUUUUUUAAAAAAAAUUUAAUUUUUCUGGAGUUGUUAUAGUUAUUGCUCAUUUGCUGCAAUUAUAAAAAUUAAAUCGAUAAUGGUCCUGCCAGAGAACAAUUGGUGCCAGGUGUUCAAACUUUUAAAUAGGAAUAAUACCAGAAACCUCCCCUGAGAUUUCUCUUAAUAUCAUUUGACGCUCCUAAGGUUUUAAAAAAUCAAUUACCUCCCUUACUUUUGUUUAUUUGUGUAACAAAAUUUUUAAAAAUCCUAAAUUACCCUUCUAAUUACUAAAUAAAAAUGCUCCUAGAUCACUUUAUUUACUUCAAGAAAAUCAUCAUUUAAAAAAUAAUUUCUAGUAGUACUACCAUAUCAUGAUGUUGUAAUCCAUAAAAAUAUAUAUUUGAAAAAUAAAAAAAAUAUUUGUAAAGAAAUACAAUUGACUAAUAUAACUCUUCUACUCAAAACUAAUUUCUUAUGAACUCUAUCUUUUUUUUCCAACUUCUUCUCAAUUUGUGUCCAAAACUUUUAAAUUAUACUGAUCAUUCAAAAAUAACUCAAAAUAAGCAAAUAAAUUAUACCCCACUCUAUCACAAUUAUAAAAAUUAAAUGAUAACAAAAUUUAAUUGAUUAUAAUUUAUAAAUAGAAAAUUACAUAGUCAUCCAAAAAAUGAGUAAGAGAGAAUAUUGGAGAAAAUAAAAAGAGAAGAAAGUGACUUUUGUUUCCUUUUUUUAUUUUUAGCUCCAUUUGUUUGAUAUGUGAAUUGUGUUUCAAAUGAAGGUUAAUAUAAUCUUUUUGUAAUUAUUAGGGGAGGUAAGUAUUUUUUAAAACUUUAGGGGUACCAGAUGAUAUUAGGAGAAAUCUCAAGGGAGGUAUAUGAUAUUAUUCCGUUUAAAUAAUUGCUAGGGUUUCCAGCAAAAGUGAUAUCACGUUGUUGAAUUUGGAAGUUUCCCCGCCGCUCACCUUAAAGUACGGGACUGACUGAUUCCGUGUCUUACUGGUCCCUGACUCAUUCCGUGUCGUGCCUUACUGGUCCCCUCUUAUGGCUACGGUUUUGUGGGGUCUUCCGUUUCAAUUGAUUGCUAAAUGAUAAAUUCUGCAUUAAAUGUGGUAUUACCUGUCCCCAAAAAAAAAAAAAAAAAAAUUUGUUUUCCGCACAUUCUUGCAAAAGUUUUAUAAAAAAUUGCAUUACUAUUCCGAAAAAAAAAAUUCGGCAAUCUUUUAUGCUGGUGAACUCAUCAGUAACAAGUAUUACUCUUCCCUCAGCCGCAAAAAGGGCAAAAACAAAAAAGAGAGAAAUGAAAAACCUAUCUUUCUUUCUUGCUAUCUCUCCCCAGUUCGGCAAAGCGGUUUCGGCUCUUUUCCCUUUGACCUGGCAUGAGUUCCUGGUUUCACCGGCAUGAUGUGUUCUCAAUGAAUUUUUUUUCUGAAUCAUAGUUCAGAAGUUGGUUACUUAUCAUUAAAGGAGUCGAACUAACCUCACCCACCUUAACUAAUUACGUUGUAUUUGUGGUGCAUGAAUGGGGGGUUUGGUUGUUUUGUGAGCACGUGAGAGUUGGAUGAUGGUGAUCUCUGAUUUCACCCCAAGUUGACGGUUUUGGUACAGCAAAUGGGACCAGAUGGAGUCUUCAUAUCCCAUAUAAAAAUUGACCCAUUUGGACAACAUCUGGACAUGCUUUGUCCUAUGAGGUGAGAUUCUGCGGAAGAAGUGAUACAGAAGCUCAUGACCUUGAUGGCAUAUGUUAGAUCCCUUGAAACAAAAUAUGGCAAUUUUGGGGGUAUUCCGAGUUUGUUUGGUCUCUUUGCUUAUUCAUUUGUUUAUAUUUCAUGCGUUUUUCUUUUUUGGGUGCAACAGAGGUGAUGCUUGGUUCAUUUUCGUCAUUCAAAUCCACCGCGCCGUUAGAAGCUUGAAGGACUUUGCGAUUGUAUCGAUCCGGCACCAGUUCAUGGACUGGCUAUAGUCCGAAACAGUAAUUUACAUAACCACCCACCCUAAUUUGACACUGUUUAUAAAGGAGAGCUGAUUGAAUUAGUAACAGUAAAUAAUCGCGUUUAUUUUCCCUGCAGGCAACCACGAUCCGGGAUUAAGAAAACUUGCAUUAAAAAGCUGCGCAGGUGCAUUAUCAACGUGUCAGAUGUCUCCUACGGAUGCUGUGGAGCGUUUUCCUUCUCUAGAUGCUGCACUCCAAAGGCGUGACGAGUAUUUUGACGGUUGUGAGGAGAAUCAACAGACAUAUCCCACUUGAUACCGGACUGGUAUUAUUAUAGCAGCCCAAAUGUGUGUAGAAGAUCACUUAUGUGGUCUUUAGGUCACAUCGGGACAUCAAGAUUAGUUCCUAACCAUUCUUAUGCUUGUUUUGCAAGUAAAUUCUUUUGGGACGUGGAUAACCUCGAGAGAAUGCUGAUGGCCGGGGUGUGUUCUCUGCCUCCAUUGACAAUAGAGAGAUAGCUAUUCUGUUUAGGUUAACUUCAUGGUUCCUGAUCUAGUACUACAGCGAUUAUACGUUUUUCUCAAUGCUUGGGGUCUCAACCGGAAUUGUCGAAACCUGAAAGUUCUUGACCAAGCUUAACAAAGUUCUAAAAGAAACCAUCAGCAAUGAAUAUUCUCGUGUAAAAUCUUUCACAAACUUAUCCGAGAAAAAGGAAGUUCAGUAAUAAGUUCCCUCACUCUCAGACAUAUUUAUCUCCACGUUUGUUUACAUAUACAUUUGGAGAUUGGAGAGAGAACAACUUGGACUAUUAAAUCACUCUAGUUCAUAGUCUUAUUCACAUUGAGAUGCGGAAUCUUUUCACUUCCUUUCUAAUUUACAAUACAGAUACAGUAUUGCCUAGUAGUUCACUGAGCCCGCGUGGGUUGGUGGUAGAUAUUGAGUUAAGUUCAUCCCGUUCAAGAAGUGCUUGGGCGAAUUGAGAAUUCAGUAGACCAAGAGAGAAAUAUCAAAGAGUGCUAAUUUAGUCAGUUGUUUUUGUCUUUUGUGAUAGUCAGAUUGCAUUUUGAGUUAUUCAGCUCCAGGAUCCUGCUUUUGUGCUGUCACAGUUCUGCUUCUUCCGGUGCUGCAAUGAAUUGAAUUCUUUCUUACGUUGAUUUUCUCUGGUUGUUGAAGAAAGAUGAAUACCAGAGCAUGGACUCUAUGGCAGUUUAUGAGAGCACCUUCUGUCAGAGUGAGAAAGAGCACUCAGCCUAUGUUUACCUUUAUGAGCUUGUAUUGAUCAUGGCCAUUCAUUCUACUUACUGUAUCAUUAGUUUCUUCAGGGUAGAUGGUAGUAUGCCUCGUGGGAGAGGUGUAGCCUUCAGUAGAUAGAGAAGUUUCCCCGAAAUUUGAUAAGAUAGGGACUUUGAUAUGAAUUUCAGAUGCAUUCUGUAUUCUACUAGUUUUAAGAAAAGAAGAGAAGGAUCUUUUUGGCUUAAUCUUCACUGCUAUCCACAUUACGUUCAGGUCUACUAGAAAUUAGAAUCUCUCUCCUCCACCGUAUGGUUCCGGUUGAUGUGCCAUUGGGUCCUUUCUUCGAAUGAAGCUUCAAAUCUUUGCUGUGUUGCUUCUUAUCAACUAUUGUAUUGAUCUUUCUAGCUGCUCUUUUCUGCCAUAUAUAUAUAUGGCUUCUUUAUGCGUUUCUUUUGCCAUGUUUCUUUUUCUGUAUGUGUUUGUGUACUUCUUCUUCUUCUUCUUCGGGUGACAUUUGAACCGUCAGAAUUCAUUAUACUGUUGGGAAGGCAUAUUUAUGGUAAAUACCUAGAGUGUUCCCCAGGGCUAGUCACAAUCAAACUGCCUCUGAGCAAUGAAAGGGGGAAAGCAUUUGCUGCACAUGCACCUCAGAAGUUGAGGCAGAUAUUUCGACCACUGAUCCACCCCUACAACUUGAGGCGAUCAGCCACUGAGACUUCUGUGUUUCUGCUUGCUGCAACGCCCAAAGGUUAAAAGGCUAACUGGUGACAUGCAUGAGGAUUCGCAAGCUGCUUAAGUUUAUUUUCUUUAGUCAUGGUUCUUUCUUUCAUGCCUCUCUUGUGGCUGUGUAGGAUUGAGCGGGCAGGUCAAGCCUCUUCUGAAUUCCCCUUCUAAAUAAACAUGUGAUCUACAAUUAAAUAUAUAUGCUACUGUUUUUAUUAAACCUGUUCUUAUCUUCUGCCUCUGCCUUGUUAAAUGCUAUGUUUUCAGAACCGGACCGGAUAGCGACUCGGCCGAGGUCAGGGGUCAAUGGGUUCGACCGGGGGUCGAUAGGGGUCGAACCGGAUGACGUCAUAAAUAAAAAUUAUUUAAAAAUUAAAAUAUUAUAUAUAUAAUAUCUAAUAAUAUAUUGAUAUUAAUAAGGGUAUAUCCAUAUAUAUUUGAUGUUUCAAAUAUAUUUAACAAGAAAAUACAAAGAAAUUAGAACAAUCAAGUAGCAAUUUAUAUUAUUUAAUAAAUAUUAAUAAGUUUAGAAUUAAAAUUAUGAAUUUAAUUGAAAAAUAACAUCAAAUUUUAGGACAAUAUUUAUAAAGUAUCAAAUAUUUGAGGUAUAUCAAUAAGUUUUAACAAUUUAGGGGGUCAAAACAUAAUAUUAAAAAGUUUGAAUUUUUUUAAAAAAAAUUACUGUUGAACCGGAAAAACCGGUUUUUUCCCGGUCAAACCCGGUUUUUGACCGGCUUUGACCGGAUUUUAAUUUUCUGGUUUUUUAAUGUGACUCUGACCGGCUACCUGGCCGGUUCCCGGUUCGACCGGCCGGUCCGGUCCGAGUUUGAAAACAGAGGUUAAAUGAUGAUAAAUACAGAGUAGUUUGUGUUUCCUCACCUUUGUAAUGAAAGGAGUGCAGUUAGUCUGCUAUUCACUUUAUAUGCUUUUACUUUUUCUGAACUUUUUAAGUUUUAAUUUGAGUAAGCAUAGUCGUACCUUAUUGUUUUAGGUUACUGUCUUCCUACCUCAGAAAAACCAAAUCAUACUAGACCUCAAAUGCAUUAGAUACAUGCAAAGCCAAAUGGAAUCUUAUUAUUUUUAUGAAAUAUUUUCUUCUUUCUUUCACACUUUUAGUUGUUUAACUGAAUGAAUGAAUAGUAGAAAAGCAGUAGGAUAUGUUAAUCAGUAAUCACCACCGAAGUAAGUUUGAAAUAUGAUCUGGCUACUAAGAAAAAGAAGAAGAGGUAAGGAUGUUAGCAAUUUUUUUUUAAGAUAGAAAUUGAGUAACUCCACUUUACUUAUUCAAGCUAUUGAACUCUUUUAACUUGUUGCACCUUCAAGCAGUAGAAUAUGCACAAUGGUUUCUUUGGGAGGACCUGGAACGUGACCGUAAUGGUGCAUAGAAUGUUAGGAGACGCAUGAUAUAUGAUCAGAAAUGAGUACUAAACAAGUAGGUUCAACUUACAUGCAAUCUUUUCCUGUUUGCAGCUUUCUUUUUCUUGAAUGUCUUUUGUGGACUUAGUUUUUAAGCAUCAAAUAUUAGGCAGAAACUGUUUUAAUUUUACCACUCUACAGGCAUUGAGAGCAUCCUUUUUUUCCCCCUUUAUCUAUUUCUUGUGUCCUCUACCUUGUGCUUUUGUUCAAGGACUGUUCUUGUGUCUUACCUCUAUCACCAAAUCCUUUUAGCAAUUGAAAGUUGAAAGCCGCCUCUUAUUGAUGAUAAGUUAAAGCACCAGUAGUUACUCUGUGUAUUGUAACUCUUUGAGCUUGUAUUUUCCUUAAAGUGACAUCAACUUUCUUGCAGCUUGGUUUAUGCAGAACGAUGAGUUACGUGAAUCUGCUAGGUGACUUUUGCUGUCCAUUGCUGAACAGUGUGUCAUGAUCGAAAUAGCAAAGGCACGAAGGGUAUGAUUUGCCUUCUGCCUCGAGAAGGUAUGUUUGGCAUUGUUAAGAUUGAUCUCCCUAGCACUACACUUAUUGAUUACUCUGCAUCAGUACCAUGUUUGUAAUUUUUUGUUGUAUUAAUGCAUUCUUGUCAUUGCUGAAAUGUUGGGAGUUCCAUCUAUGCCAUACAGCAAGUCACAAAUUCUUGUGAGGAAAUAUAUUCUCGAGUCAUCUUCACUCUGCUGGCAGUCAACUAUUGAAUCCUUUAACUAAAAGUUAGUUUCACAUUGGGACAGGGAACAUGAAAAGAGUCUAUGCUAUUUAGUUUCGCAUUGCAUUUAGGGGCUUGGGGGAGGACUUUAAGCUAGUAUCUGAUUAUGGCAUUAGCUGCUUGGAACAGACAUAAGAAAAAGAGUAGGCAGUUAGGAUAUAUGACGCGAUGUUGUUUAGUCUCCAAGUACUAAAAAUUGAAUCCUUAACUAGAAGUUAGUUUCGGACAUCGAAAUUGGGAGGGGGAUUUGGGUGGUUUAUUAAGGUCCUCAGGAACCACAAGAGUUGCCGGCUUUUGUGGUUUCCUGUGGAGUUACUUUACUAAAUUGCAAAAGUCAAUCUGUUGACUAGAAAAACUAGAAGUUAGUUUCGGCAGGGGGCUGGAAUGUGAGUAGAGUCUGUAACUUAUUAUGCUCCGUGUCAGUGUCACGGGCUUGGAUGCGUUUCAGCUAGAAUUUUGUUUAAGACACGUGUUGCCUGAAGUCUGGAUAGCUUCUAGUAUUUUGUUAUUGGUUAAUUGAACCAGGAUUGCUAUAAGAAAAAUGAUUAUGGGUUUCUGAAAAUGGCACAUCUUGUGUAUUGACUCCAAACUUUAAUCUCUAAUGAUAUCAUGGCUGGCUUGAUUAAUAGUUGAGAGCAAACACCGCCAUGCAUUUUAGAUAAAUGGUUGGUACGAAUUUUAGGUGCAUAUCAUUAACUAUGAUAUUAUAUGUAUGUCUGCUAUUGUUGUCUUCAUAGUGGGAGAAAGAUUAUUGACAGUUCACUGGAUAUGAUGAUGGGAGGCACUUUAUUGCUGUUUCCCGUCUUCUGCUUUCUCCAUGACAUAUAAUGUUGCCGAACUUUUGUAAUUACAGCCUGUAGGAUUUUUGUUUAUUAAGUAGUAAUAGUUCAUGAAUUCUUUAAUCUGCUGAGUUUUAUUUAUUAUUAUUAUUUUAAAAUGCCUGCCAGCUUUUAAUAUGUGAAAAUUGCUAUUAAAGUCCCUGGCAUUUUUCAAACUUCUGUAAUUUAGAUCCUUGCAUUAUAAGCUCUUUUUUUGCCUAUUCUUUAUUUUGGAUGGAAAUAACUGUAGUAGAAAAUAGAUUAGAGAAAGGGACUUCACCAUUUCUCUUUGUUUGAAAAUGUUUAGUGGGGAUACAAUAGCUAAACCUAGUGAGUUUUAAAUCGUGUAGUUACCUUCUCAAAAGCUAAACAAAAUGUCAGCAAUUUUAGAAUGGGGCCAAAGUCCUGAUUAGAGGUGUUAAUCACAAUCAAAUUAUAUUGAUCCAUCCAAACUUGUCCACUAAUAAGUAGACUUUAAUGUGCAAUUAGGGCUGUCAAUGGGCUUGGGCUAGCUCGAGCCCAGUUCAUUCAGCCCGCAACAAGGCCCUAUGAGCCUUAUGUUUAAUAGGCUUGGGCUGAGUUUGGCACAAAAUAGGGCCCAAAUUAAAUGAGCUGAGAUUGGGCUUUACUAGGUUCAAACUUGAUUAAGGCCCGACCUAUUUACAUGUAUAAUUAUAUAUAUAUAAUACAUGUAAUUUCAUAUUAAGUGGUAUAUAUAAUGUAGAAUUAUACAUUAUAACAUUAAAAUAUCAAUCAUUUAUAUACAAAUUUAUAAAUAUUAAUAUAUUAUUUAUAAUUAUAUAUUUAAUUAUGAGUUUGGGUCAAAUCCGAUAUGAACCCGAAGUUCAUAUAAAAUGAUGAGUCGAGUUUGAACUUUCUAACCUAGGUUCAAGUCCGAAAGUUCAAAAUCCUGAAAGCCCCAUUUAUUUUUUGAGUUGAACUUAGGCUUCCCAAAGUGAGGCCCAGCUUAUAGAGCUUGAUAGGCACCCCUAUAUGUAAUUAGCUGGCGGGUGAAGAUGCUUCUUAGUGACUGAGAUGUUUGGACCCAAAAAAUGUAGAGCUUUUGGUAGAGUGUGCUUGGAAAACUGACUCGAAUUCCCAUAUUAUAGGAUAUAGUUUGCUUGCAUACUGUUGGCUGUGCUGUCCAUGUUCUAAAUGUAUGCAAUACCAAGUGCAUAUUAUAUAAACUAUUGAUGAAAUUGGAUCAAAACCAUACAGUUGCUAAAUUUCAAAUCGCGUUAUUAUAGUCCUGUGAUUCAACAAUCCAAUUUUAUAAAUUUGAUCCCAAUCUAAGUAAGAUUCUUGGAGUUUGUAAAACUAUAGUCAAAUGAAUAGAAUUUUGUAGAAUCAAGUGCAUAUUAUAUAAACUAAGAUAAUUCUUACGAAUUUAAAAUUCGUAGCCUUAUAUGUCAUGAAUUCAUAUCAAUGAUAUUUAUUUUUCAUAUUUGUAGUCUAAAAAUAAAAUAAAUUCCGAAAAUUGAAUGUUUAUCAAUUAGCAUAUAAUGCUAGAAUACAUACAUUUUAGCUGAAGAAAUUUAUUUUUUCUAACUACCAUCACAUUUUCUGCAUCUAUUUGCACAUUUUUUCAACUUUCAUGAACAAUAAGCUUAUAAAUAAAUAAAAUGUUAAUUUUUUUUCAUAUUUUUUAGUAGGAACUUACGAUUCUAUGAUCCAUCUAUGGUUUAAUCCUAUGACUUCCAAAAGGAACCCUAGGUAGGAUUCCCAUUUUAAAAACCUUAAGACUCCAAUCCUGAAAACGGCUAUCCCAUGUACAAAAUAAAGGGGGGAAAAAGUAAUAAAAAAAGGAUGAUAAAAGAAAAUAAAGAAGAAGACCCCUCUGGAUAUUCAAUUUGGUAUUGUAAUUUUCGGGCCUUUUUUUUCUGGGCUGAACUGCAACAUUAAGGGGCCCAAUAUGUGAUUGUAAAACCUGGAUCAGCCCAAAUUUCCAACGUUAGGCGCCAAGUUUCCAAGAACAAGAAACAGAAAAUCAUUUCAGCUGGUUCGUCCGGAUCUUUCUCUAGUCUUACUGAGCAAGAACUAACGGUAAUUUUUUCAUUGUUUUUUCUUUAUUUUUUCUUUAUUUUUUUGUGGUAAUUAGUCUUGGGGUGUUGAAGCGUUGCCCAUUUUAAGAGCCGAAAUUCAGUAAUCCGCAUAAUUGUUGCUCAUAUGCGUUAAGUUUCUUGCGCACCACCUGUUCGAUUAAUUAACGAUAGGCUCUUCUAAGAAUUUUGGGUUCUUAAUCCGCCAUGUUCUUACUAAAAUAGUGAGAUUUUGGAUUUAGAAAAAUUUUUAGACUGCUUCGAUCCCUUGGUCUUUUUCUUUGUAUAAGUUUUAGCACUGCUGCAAUCCCACUUUGUUCUUCUUUUAUGUUUAUGUUUUUUCAAUUGAUUUUGAACGGGGAAAAUGUUUUUUUAAUUCUUUUUUUAGUUUUGGGCUUUAAUUUCUUUGUUAAUUUCAAUGGUUCUUUUAUUUCAUUUGCUCAUGUUUGCAGAGAGCAAUCCAGACAAUGUCUGCAAUCAGAGCAAUUGGUAGGGCGCUUUUUGCUGCAGUCAAGGCUGACACUUCAUCCGCAUCUUCUGCAGCUGCAGCUGCUGCUUCCACUGCUAGGACUAAACAUAACCCUCUUGAGGAUUUCUUCGAGGCUGACAGAAGUUCAGAUGACGACAAGCCUGUUGUAUAUGGUAUAAACACGUCUUCUCUCUAUCAUAUCGUGAAGUUCUUUGGUUUUCAUGUAAUUGAAGAAACUGAAGUUAAUAAGUUGGAGCCCGAAAUUGACCGUGGAAAUAAAGUACUGGUACAGUCUUAAAUUCUACAAAUACUUUGUGGUUUGAAUAGCAUCUCCUUGUAGUAUCUAAGCUUAAGUAUUUAAUGUCAGAAGUGAAAAGGAUCUCUUUUUUUGCAUUGUGUUCUGGAGGUGUAAUAAUUCAGCUGAUCUGUCUUAAGCUUUGACAAUUCCUUUGAGGAUUGCAGUGACAACCUCUUAAAAUGGUGCUUCUGAUGCUUUGGAUGUCAAACAACAUUUAGAAACAGCCUUGAGCAUGACCUAGCAUUUAUGACUAGGAAUUUUUUUCCCUUUUUACUUUUUUCCUCGAUAAUGGUAUGUUCUAUUUUCGGAAUCAUUCUUAUACAGAUGCUAAAAUAAUUUUGAUAAGGAGCUAUUUUUGAGUUCUUGUUUAUUUUAUUAAAUUAAGAUAGCUUAUUUCAGCAAAGUAAACCUAUACAGAUAAAAAAGACAGCAGCAAAUAUUUCUUCUUAUUACAACUCUAUGUUGCUUCAUACUUUUUCCAACCAGUUAAGGUCUAUGAUAUAGCAGGAUAUGUGGAAACUUGAGUUCUAGAAAGCACCCUUUGUUUUCCAGAGAGAUAUGGCAUGAGAUAAUUGUACACCCAUGUUUGUUUGGUCUUGCUAUCUUUUUUUGUUAGAUGAUUAUCCUCAAAUUAAUAAAUUUUUAGGUAUUGUAAAUCAGUUGUACUUUCUUUUCUUGCUGGUUGCUCCAUCUGAGUUACUGCAUAUAGCUUAUGGACCUUGUUUUUUCUUGGUUAAUAAAUGAAAAGGUUGUAUUCUGCUCUAUGGUGUAUGUGCAGCCCAUGGCAUUUUGUUAAACUUAUGUUCAUGGAACAUAUUGUUACCACUCCUUUCUUGUCAGUUGUGUGUUCAAAAUAACUGUUGAUUUUAUCAUAUAGGUAGGGGCUGGAAAGCUUCUGAAUUGUGCCUUAAAUCAUGGGAUGAUCCUCAGAAGUUAUGGUUUGUUCUAUUAAAGGAGAAAAACAUGUUGAUGACCCAACGCCAGAUGCUUCAUGCUCAGAACCUACGUUUUGCAAAUCCAGAACAUAUCUCCAAGGUAGAUUAUGUAUUCUCCAAUUUGCUGUUUUUCUUUCAUUUUUCAAAUGCUUUUUCUGGUGCUGUUAUAUAGCCAUUUCUGCCAUUUAUCUUAAAGAAUAAAAUCCAAUGUACUUGAAAAAGUUUCUUUGCUAUAAUCUUCUGCAUUUUAUUCUAAUAAGCAACCAAUUUCAGUUUUUUUCCCCAGUUUUAUUAUGCUAGAAAACUUCUCGAUACUUAUGCAGUGAUGAACAUCAUCGCUUUGGUUAAUCAUGAAACUUUGUCUGAUACAAGGUGAACGCAAUUCUACAGAGCCUAUCACAUUUUUCCGCUUUAUGAAACAUUCCUAGGAUUACAAUUCUACUUAAUAGACAGUUUUUUCCACUUGAAGGCGUGGGAGAAGCAGAGGGUGAAGAGAGAGGACCUAAUAGGAGAAACACUAUCUGCCAGAUACAUGUUUCUCCCAAGAAAAAAAUCAUUUUUGUAUUUGAAAAUGUAGUUGUACAGUGAGGGGACUCGCCGGGGGAGGGGGGGGAGGGGGGAAGAGAGAGAGGACCUGAUAGGAGAAACACUGUCUGCCUGAUAUAUGUUUCUCUGGAGAAAAAGUAAAAAUUAUAAUCCUCACAUUUUGUGGCUGAUAGUAGCCCUGGAGGACCUGGGAGGAGGGGGGGGGGAGAGAGAGAGACAGACAGACAGAAAGGCCUGUUAGAGAGGGAUUCAAAUUAGAGGAGAAAUAUACUCGAGUUUUGCUGCUGAUAGUAUUCCUAGAAAACACAAUCUGUCAGAUACAUUUUUCUUUUGAAAAAAGCUCUCCUAUUUUGCAGCUCACAGUAAUCCUGGGGGGAGAUAGAGAGUGUGUGUGUGUGUGUGAGUGAGAGAGAGAGAGAGAGAAAGAGAGAGAGGGGACCUAAUUGGAGGAAACAUAUCCUCAUAGUCAUUGCUGACAAAAGUCCUAGAAGAAACACAAUCUGUUAGGUACAUGUUUCUUUAGAAAAAAGUUCUCAUACUUUUCACCUCACAGUAUUUCUAGAAGAAACCGCAUGUCCUAGAUACAUGUUUUUCAUAGUUCUUCUGUAUAAUAUCUUUAUUCUUGUCAACCUCAAAGGAAUUAAUAUCAUAAUUCAAUCUUUCCGAAUAUGUUGUCUGAAAAUGAUCUUAUCAGCAAAAUUUUUAAUACUGACAUUGUGUAUUUUAAUCGACAAAUGGCAUAUUGUAAUUCUGUAUGAUUGGAAAUUUAUUUUUCUUCUUAUUUUUUCAACUAAAAGCUUAUCUUGAAAGGUUGGAAAAAAUUGAAUUCUAUAAAUGGUUGUGUUUUCUAUGUAUGGAAUUACCAAUGAGUUAAUUAAAUAGUUUCCUUGCUCCAUUACAAGUAGGUUGGGGUUGUCUGACCUUUUUCCUUAAUAUGCUUCAUGUUUUAGCAAUGAACUUUUUGUUUUACAUUUAUGGUCUUUCCUAGUUCAAAUGAAUGGUAAGCGGAUCUACUCUUUUAUGAAUUUCUGGUCAGGUAAAAUUAGUUGGGUAUGCUGGAGUAGCUUUAGGUGAGUAUGAUGCUUGUAUUCAAAACUGUCCAGCUUAAUCUUUUGGCUGUUGUAUUUUUAUGGCAUGAAUGUUACAGAAGUAGAGAGGAAAAAAGUAAUAAUUAACAUAAUGAUGGACAUUCAUGGACUAAGAGAGCCCCUGAGACCUAAAUUUGUCGGAGUGGAAAUUUUGACAUGAUUGGGGAAUUUCAACUUGGAAAUAAUAGUCACAGUGUAUAAAAUUCUUACUUCUAGAGAACAAGAUAGUUGUUUGGUUCUGAAUCGCACUGGCUAAUGGCUAUGCCAUCGCCAAAGCUGGUUCCUUAUCCUCUUCUUCUUGAAGCCUGAGUGUGACAUAUGCUUUGAGCCUUUAGUCAUCAUGCAUCCAUUCUGUUACCCUAGCACUGAGGGUUCUUAUUUCUUCUUAGUUUUUCCUUGUCAGAAUAGACAAGUGUAGAAAUGCUUUUUCCAAAAGCUUUCAAAUGCUCUAUAAACUAGAGAGCUUUGUAUCUUUACUUUUGUGCCUAUUUUGUUGCUCCAAUCUUCUAGUUCAGCUGCUUCAUGAUUUUCAAAGGCUGACAGAGCCAUAACUUGUACAUAAGUCAGAACUUUUUCCAACAAGUAUAAGACUUGCAAGAUUACUACUAUCUCAACUCAUUUACCACAUUUGUGGUGAGUGACUUUGAGCCAUUGACUACCAUCUGAUUUAACUGAUAUUUUGGCUUUUUAACUUUGUUAAUUACUGGAAUUUAUAGUUAAGUAUGGGGAUAUUUGGUGAUGACAACCACAAAUGAUUUAGUCUUAUGUCAUAUUUUCAUUCUCCAAUGCUGUGCAAAGUUGUGUUUUAUGUCCAGUAUAUAACCUUUAAUCCUUAGUUCGCAUUGAUGAUCUUUCUACCAGCCUGUACAACACAAGAAAUUAGUUCGGCUAUUUGAAAUAAUCCUGCAUACCUGCAAGUGGCUUGGCUUUCACCUAAUUUUUGUUCCUUGUGUUUAUACUGCUUUUAUUUUGGAGAUUAGACGUUUUCCAACUUUGAUUGAAUGCAUUUAUUUAUUUAUUUUAUUUUUGUAUGUGGAAUAUUUCUACUCAAAUCUAAUUAUAUCUUGUUGGGUUAUACAUGUGUGUGGCGAUAAUUUCGUUAACUAAUUGUGAAUUUUACAACAAAGGUGUCUGUCUACCCUUUUGUAUAUCAAAGGCGGAUGCACCAUACAUCCGAUUUCUCUACCAUACAUGAUCACAAGGAACUUUUCGUGUAUCCUCCACAUGACAGAAAUAAUACUCUUAGUGAGGUAAACAAUUAAUUUGACUAAGAAAUUGAGAAAUCAUAUCUUCUCAUGGUCCUUAAUGUCUACUUGGUAUUUCUUAUAAUCUAACACUUUUUACUUGCUAUAUUCACAUAUAGGAUCAGAUCCCUUUGGAAAAAAUUAAGGAAUUAUAUAGUCCUCUCAUUCAUGAAUAUGAGUCCAGAUCGAAAGUUGCCAAAAAGAAAGAAGUGACUUGGAUGGAUUUUUCUAGACUGUUAAUCAACACAGAGGUUGAGAAACGCAUUUGGAUAGUUGAAGAAGUUCAUAGAAGGAACUUGCAUAUCGUGGACGGAUGUUUCAGUGAAGAUCCACCGAUUGCGUGUACUUGGCCUUUGCCCAAUGAAAGGUAAGUUGUAAUGUUUCUAAUGCUUUUAACAUUUAUCAUAGUUGUCCAUGUUAUAAGAUUGAUUUUUUUUUUCUUUUUUAGGUGCACUAUAGUUUCAGUUAUUGCUGGAUUUGACCCGAAGACGGGGACGAUAUUUUAUGGAAUCGUGAUACGGAAUGAACAUGGCGAAAUAUUGCUGAUACAAUGUCUGACUGAAGUCAUUGAAUCUUGGAAAAGAUUUAAUCCGCAUGAGGCUGAGGCUGAAGCUAUUCAUAGAGGCAUUAAGUUUGCAGAUAAGAAUAAGGAAAUGUUAGGAUAUGACAAGUUCAUAGUUGAAUCUGAUAGCAAAGAAGGCAUUCAUCGGGUUUCAAGGUCUCUUACUUUCUUAAGAUUUUAUUUCACUUUUGAUCCUUUUUUUGUUCUUUAUAUUUAUACUUGUGUUUGGCAUUUGUUUGGCAGAUGGGCAAGUGAAAAUUACCCAAAUUUUAAAUUGAGACACACAUAUCGCGAAUUAAUGGGGUUAACCCAACUCCUCAUCAAACUUGUGAAGGUCUCACCAGAUGUCCAGAAUCCCGAUUACGAGUCGAUUGAGAAGGAUUUAAAACCCAUUGCAGAAGGAUUCAAGGCUGGCAUGUUGCGCCUUAUAUUUCCAAAGUCCAGGAAGAGCAAGAAGGGAAGGAACCAGAAGAACAAGCGUGAGAAUUGAAUGAUGUUCAAGUUAAAGUAGUAGAGUGAGGUAUGCGCAAUUUUCUCUACCUUUUUUUUCCCUAAUUAUUUCAUUUCAAAGGUUUUUUUUUUCUAAAUUUUUUUGAAAAAGAUAGAAAACAAAGAACUGCUUCCGUGUGUUCAAUUUCUUUGAUAUCUACCCCUGUUGUGGUAUCAACUCUUUAGUGUGUUCAAACUCUUAGGUCUUUAGAUUUUUUUCUUGAUUUUUGUCGCUGAAACACAUAAGCAUGCGUGCAUUAUUAAACAUUUGAUGAGUUUGUAUAUUGUCGAUAGAUAGUAUCGGAUGAAGAAAUGCAGUAUUAAUGUUCAUCUUUUGUAGAAUCCCUUUUAUGUACUGGUAGUUUUGUUGCUUAGUAACGAUUUGGUUCAAUUGGGUCAAUUCCAGAUGGAGAUAUUUGGCUAUUUGCUGCCUUGUUUAUAGGUUUAUGUUCUGUUCAAUUAUUUGACAUUGAUAUAUUUUUCUGAGUUCGUUUUACCAUUCUGCAGCAAGAAUCAUUACUUGUACUACGGUCAGGUUAUUAACAAUUUAACAUCUUUCUUUAUUUGAUCGCUGUCUCCUUUUGUUUAACAAUUUAACAUCAAAAUUUUUGGGGAUUCUUUUCUUCUCCUUCUUUUUCCUUUUUUUUAGGAAAAAAAAAAAAAAAAAACCUUGCGGUCAACACCCACUAUCAUUAAUGGAGAAACAUGACAAAUGUAUUGAUGGAGAAAUAUGACAAAUGAGCUGGUGCAUAAGCCACACUGCGUAAUGCAUCUUUUUUCCCAUCAUUUUUUAAAUUAUUUUUUUUAGUACUCGUGAAGAGAGAUUUAAGAAGUUGGGAGAGGAGAUAGAAUUCGAGCCCCCGAAACUCAAACUUAAAAAUAAAAAAAUAAUAAUAAAAAUGGAAUGAGCAUAGUUUACUUGUGUAGUGCUAGUAGGAAUUCAUGAAGAUUUUUAUAAAAAUUUUUAAAAAAAACACAUGAAAAUUGAGAACUUCUUUGGUCAAGUAAUUUUUCUAUUUAUCUUUUCUUCUACUCCAUAACGCUUGCAAUUAUGCACUAAGAUCACAUAAUUCUAGCACACGACUUUUUCUUAUUGAUUUUUCUUUUCUUUUGAAAGAACUUUUUGGCUCCGUUUAGAUUAGCUGUUUUUUGAAAAAUUUUACUGUAGCAGAGUUUUUAUAGUAUGUUUUGAUAUAUUUAAGAGUAGAAGAGUUUUUAAUUAGAAUAUAUUGUGGGAUAUUUUUUAAACAUUAAAAAAAAUUUAAACGAUUUUUUAGAGUGCUUUUUAAAAAUUUUAAUAGUAUUUAAAAAACUAAUUUUUGAAAAAUUCUUAAAUCCAAGCAGAGCCAUGGUGUCUCAUACUAACAUAAUAAAAACAAUUUGCUCUCUUACAAUUUGAAUCCUCCACAGGCAUUAAACAAUGCCCUCUAAUGGCGUCUUUAGCAUAGUUUUGAUAUGAAAGAUCAUGGCAGAGGUAGACUCACUAAUACACAUGUAACUCUUCUCAUAAUCUCUCCGUGAAUCUAAAUAUAUAUAUAUAUAAAAAAAAAAAAAAGGACACUAUUUAGUGCUGAAAAAAUUUCACAGUGAUCAAUAUCAAGGCAUCAGAAGACAGCAGAUAUUUAUUGGUUCUCCACAAAUUGAAUUGGGCUAUUACAACUUGGUUCGAGUUACGAAUGCAUAGAUAGAUUAAUAGAAAUAUCAAAAUUACUGAGUAAGUAUUAUAUGGGUGCAAGAAUUCAUUCGAAAUAUGUGUAAAUAUGUGUAUAGCUAAUACUCAAACAUUUGAAUUAGCACAUAUAUCCAUAUAGAGGUAUACACAUAUUUACGCAGAAUAUUUGCACAUACACUUGCACACUCAAAAGGAUAUGAACAUGUAUAUUAUGCGUGGAUACCAAGUCGAACUUGGAUCAAAUUUUCAUUGCUUAUGCGUCUAAUUUUUUAACUCGUAACAUUAACAGCACCAUCCUUCUCCGCCAUUAACAUUUAGCAAUUCGAUUCAUUGCUUCUGAAUACGUAUUCAUCCUUUAUUAUUUUAACUAGAACUGUUUCAUGUUUAUUAUUUUAUUCAUCCUUUAUUAUUUUACCUAGUCCGGUUGCAAAUAAACUUUUUCUAUUUCAAAUUGUUUAUUUUCAUGCCCCCGCACCCUCCACUGUCACGCAAGGAAUCUACGCCGUGAUGUGCAUGAGCACGUCUGUUUUACUACAAAUAACAGUAUGCAGCGUACACUGCCAUCAUCGGGCAAGCCCCAUGCACAGAAGCAAAAACCGAAGCCUGGCGGUAACCACAAGUAUCUACUCAAAGUUGAUGACAGGGGCAGAAAUAAAAUGCGUUAACUACAUAGAAGAUAUUUGAUCAAAUACCUAGACAAUAGAUCGAAUACGAAAUGCGUAUUACAGAUGAUUUAUCAGUGUUUACAAUUUCCAACAUCAAAUACGAAAUGCAUCGGUCUGGAAGCGUUCGUCAUAUAAUCUCCAAUGGCCAUACCUUUCAACAUGGAAAACAGACCUAGGAAUGUAGAAGUUAGGCCUUUUUAUGGUUUUCAAAUUCUUCAAACUGGAAGAUGCAUUUGCUAUAUCACGACUAGUUACAUUUGCACAUCCAGAUAAAUCCAGAUAUUCAAGAUCCGAACACCCUUCGGAUAUCAAAACAAGACCUUUGGCCGUCAAUUUGGAAAACCGAAGUUCGAGAUGCAGGAGAUGAGGCAUAAAUUUCCCAAUUGCAGUAGCAUCUGCAUCCCCAUCUUGAGGACAAGCAUCCAGAUACUCACCAGGUACAAUACCAUGAUGUUGAGAAGGAUCCAACCAAUUCAUCAAAUUCCGCCUGAAAACCUGCAACUUCGGGCAGUGCCUUCCUAUAAGUGCCAUAGAUUCAUGAGAUAUUUCAUAGCAAUAGCUAAUAUCAAGUUCCCUAAGGUUGGGGCAGCCAGAAGCUAUUUUAGCAAUAACUUCAUCUGUAACAUGAGGAGAGCUCUUAAUGGAAAGAACUUGAAGAUUGGGGCACCUGGGAGACAGACAAUGGAACUGAAUCGUUUCAAACGUCAAUAAAAAUAUAAGAUGCACACCCCUCAACAUUGACAGAAUUCAGAAUUGCCAUUUAGACUUGCCAUGACUAUUAUAGAGGUAAAUAAAAUUAAGUGGCAAAAUGCACAAAUUGUAAACCACCAGUAAAGCAAUUUUAUUGCUCUUGGUCUUCUACCAACAAUGAACCUCAAGUACAACAUACAUCCUAGUCAACUAAUAAAUAGAAAUGUAUAGUUUUUGAAAAGGCCGCAAAUCAAUACUUGAUAGAUAAAGAGGCAACCCACUCUUUUUUGAGUAAAUUUAGCAGUACAAUUGCCUUAUUAGGAUGAAUAGCCCAGAAUUAUGCUCAUAUUCCCAUUUUGCAUCGCGCCCCUUUAACAUUUUUUUUCAAAUCCAAACAACAUUACCCUAAUAAGCAUUAGUCAUUAAAUUCAAAUGCCAAUGAAGCCGGGCAAUCAGGUUUUAAAAACAUGGUUCAUCGAGAUAAAUGAAUCUGAAGGCAGCCAUAAGAAAAGCAAGAUCGAAACAGGGAAGUAGGAAAAAAAAUCCUUGGAAGAAAUUCUUCAUUCUCUUUGGAACCAUUCAACCAAGUGAUCCUGAUUUUCAAUUUGUCAUUUUGUACCCACCAAAUCAGACCCAAAUUCAACUGAGUUUUCAUCCUAUUCAUCAAGAAACCCCCUAAAAUGAACCAUUCUAUCUAACCCCAAACCCACAUCAUGUAGUACUUUUAGAGGAUUCCAUUGAUGAACUUUCAAAUGUUUCUCGAACCUAGAGCUGAAUUCUCAUCCAUUUCAAAAGAAUAACUCAAAACCACAAUUAAUAACAGAAUAAUUGACACAUACGUGGACAUUGUAUUCCAUAAUAUAAGAAAAAAUUAUCAAUCGUGUGCAUAAAACAAAUCCAUCGCUUAGAAAAUUCUGAUUUGUAGGAAAUUGACUUCUCAUUUCUUUUCUCUUGUUCACAAGCUACACCUCCAAACAACUAUUGUCCUCAGGCUUGACAUCGGUGAGUUUGAAAAAAUUGACAAGAGCACCAAACAUGCUUGUUGGGGCUUCUUCACCAGCGGGAGCGAGGGAAGGAAAGAAGAAGUUGGACAAGGGGAAAAAAAGAUAUUCAGGAAAUAGACUCUAAAUUUGAUCUUUGGGAAAUCGAUUAGUAUUCAAACAUUCUAAAUUUAUGGCACGAAACUGGGAUUAGAAUUAUGUGAGCUAGCCUUAAUCCAUAAUUCCAAAUUGACAACUAAAUUAAACAUAAAUUAACGACAAAAAAACACGCACACACGUUUUUCACCUUAAAAUUCAGGGAAAACGAAAAAGAAAAUUCAUAAAAUGAAAGAAAAAAAAUUCAAACAUCAAAGUUUAGACCUUUCAGAAACUAAAGAGAGAGAGCGGUUAGAGCAGUGUCUGACGCGGAUUUCAGUGAGGGAUCCAUCGCUCCAAGCGACGACGGAUAGAAGCAUGGCAUCGAUUUUGCGUUCGAACUCGGGAGUCCAGUAACGGGGCAACUCAGUGGAUGAGUCGAAGCGAGUUUCGAGGUCAAAGACCGAGUUGAGACAGGGCUCCUUGCAGGCGUGCAGCCAUGGCUUGCAGACGAGCAUAGCUCCCCGCCAUCGGUCUUCGAGUGAUACGCGGGAAAGGAUGUUAACGAGACACUCGUGAGUCAUAUCGCCCCAGUCGUGACUCGGUCCCGACUCGGAUGUUCCUCCUUCUUUGUCGUCCAUUUUGCCUUCUGUUGGCGGUGGUGGUUGUGCCAAAUCCCUUCGAGUUUUGAUGCGUGAAAUACUAUACUACAGGGGUCGAUUCGCGCGAUGCGUGACUUUGUGUGCAAAUAAGAAAAAAUAUUUGUAAAAUUUUUUGAAUAUUUGUAAAAUUUUUUGAAUAUAUUUGUUGACAUAAAAUGUAUAAACAUGUCCAAAUUAAUUAUUUGGCGGUGAAACAUGACCAUAACCGGUAGUUGCUAAACUAAUUAGUGAGAUUUAUCAGAUUUGUUGAAAAUUAGAAUCAUAAAAAAUACAUGCUAUUUGGUAGAAAGACAUAUUAAUAAUGAAUAAUUAUCAAGAAUAGUUUUUAAAAAAACAUAAAAUGAUAAAGUCUUUUUGAUAUCAAAAAGCCCCCUCUCCAUUUAUAUAUAUAGUAUACAUAUCAUAAGGCUUUAGUGUAACUAAAAAUGAUCUUUAAAAAAAGGUGAAAAGAAAAAUGGAUGAGAUUAAUGUUCAAAAACUAUUGGAAGAGAAAAAUUAUCGAUGGAAAAAUUAAUGUUCAUGGAGCAUGUUUCAAAAAAAAUUAAAAAAUUAAAAAAUUGUUCAUGGAUCGCUUGAAAGUUGAAAGACCAUAUAUAAUCCCUAAGUAACAAGAACUACUAACCAUCUUGAUAUCAAUUAAAUCACACAAGGGCAAAAUCAGGAUAUUACACAAAUCAAUUGCUUUUAGUAUUUUACCACACCAUAAACCAGUUGCAUAAAAUAAAUUCCAAUGUGCUAUUUGUAAAUGCACAGGAAUGAUUACGUAUCAUUGGGCCGGCCACAGUUGAGAAAAUACUAGAUUCAGGCCGUAAAUAAGGCCCAAAUAUGCUUUUAUGUGUUUUUCCCCCACAAUCUACGUACAAGAAAUUUCAACGUGUUCGAAGCCUAAUCCAGUAAUCCUAAUCGUAGGGCAUAAAGACAUUGCGUUGACUUAAAGAUGAGUUAAGGAUUAGAGAUGUAGUAAUUAAAUUCAAAUAUUUGCUUACUUUUCAUGUUUUUUUGGUAAAUAAAUCUCGACGAUUAAUGGAUACUCAAUAUUUAUCCUCAUAAAAGCGUGUUGGGAAACUAUUUAGAGAAAAGACGCGGGGGAGAAGCAGUGCAACAUCAUAGACAAACUAAAACUGAUUUGUGUGACAUCUGAUCCGGGUUACACAUUAAACGAUGUACCACGAAAUUCCAACACAAAUAUGCUAGGAUGCAACAUUUCCUAAUCACUCCAAAAGCAAGUUAACAUGACAUGUUCAACAUGCAGAUAUCAUUGGUAAACAGAAAGGUAUAACCUAGCUUCAUAUAUGGACACCAUAACGAGGGGGAAGCAGCAGAAACGGAAAAGAGAAGGCCAUGCGAAUCAGGAUUGACCUGCAGGCUCUUCUUGCAGACAGAAGUGUUUUGGGUUUCAACUUCCUGAAUUCUAACGCCUAUUGUUAGUUUCUCAAUCACCUAAUAGCAUAGCUAACUCAAAGCUUCAAUCCGCCCACCCUCCAACCCCCAAACCACCUCCCUGAAAAGAAAAUAACACCCAGAUGCCAGAAUCGAUCUACAUUUACAGCUUUGGCAUCAAAGUAAGCAAAAAGCAAGAAAAAUGCAGAUGGAAAUGUAAAAACGAAACUCCCAUUAUUGUUAUCAUGAUGAUCAAUCCUGUGGCAAUAUUCAAUAGACCAGUCCAACAACGCCACCAUUGUAUAAGCACUUCUUAAGUACAUGGAUAGGAUCAACAACGCCAAUACCUCCUAAGAAAACAGCAACUUUCAACUGAAAAUUUUUGAUAUAUCGACAAAACAAGGUUCAAAAUUCUACAACAUUACAAGUAAAGCACAUGCGUUAAUAAACUCUUGAACAAUGGAAACAGGAAAAUCCAGAGUCUCAGGGAACAAUAACCACAUGAACAUCGGCAUAAAAAUUCAUAAUUGGUUUUAAUUGGAAAGCCAAAUUCCACAGGGCAGUGCUAGGCAAGGGGCUCAUAGUACUCGCCGCGGGACAUAUCCCGAUCGAUGAAGAGAAUUGCGUAGAGAGCAUAGAUUAUUCCCGGAACGUACCCGAGGAUGGUCAAUACUAAGCAGAUAAAGAACUCUACCUGCCCAAAAUUCACCCAAGCAUUGGAAAAAAAAAAAAAAGAUACAAGAAUUAAUUAAAUUGAGCAUCUAAUCUAGGUAAAAUGAAGAAGAAGAAGGACGAGGCUUACAGUGCAGCAGCCAUGCCGGAGACAAACGCCGAGAGGGGGAAGGAGGAUCGCCAGUAUAAUCUCGCAGCAGAUUUCACAUCUGGACGCCAUUCUUCAGCCUGAUCCUUGUUUAUCCAGACGAAGCGAUAUUUUUCUUUCUCCUUUUUUACUUGUUUUUGCGCGUUCCUGGAAGAUUGAUUUGGGGGAAAGGAAUAGAAAAAGGUGGAUUUAUCGAAAUUUUUGGGGAUUCUUUUCUUCUCCUUCUUUUUCCUUUUUUUUUUUUUUUAAAAAAAAAACUUGCGGUCAACACCCUCUGUCAUUAAUGGAGAAACAUGACAAAUGUAUUGAUGGAGAAAUAUGACAAAUGAGCCACACUGCGUAAUGCAUCUUUUUUCCCGUCAUUUUUUAAAUUAUUUUUUUUAGGACCCGUGAAGAGAGAUUUAAGAAGUCGGGAGAGGGGAUAGAAUUCGAGCCCCCGAAACUCAAACUUAAAAAUAAAAAUAAAAAUGGAAUGAGCAUAAUAGUUUACUUGUGUAGUACUAGUAGGAAUUCAUGAAGAUUUCUAUAAAUUUUUUUUUAAAAAAAAAACACAUGAAAAUUGAGAACUUCUUUGGUCAAGUAAUUUUUCUAUUUAUCUUUUCUUCUACUCUAUAACGCUUGCAAUUAUGCACUAAGAUCACAUAAUUCUAGCACGCGACUUUUUCUUAUUGAUUUUUCUUUUCUUUUGAAAGAACUUUUUGGCUCCGUUUAGAUUAGGUGUUUUUUGAAAAAUUUUAUUGUAGCAGAGUUUUUAUAGUAUGUUUUGGGAUAUUUAAGAGUAGAAGAGUUUUUAAUUAGAAUAUAUUUUGGGAUAUUUUUUAAACAUAAAAAAAAAUUUCAACUAUUUUUUAGAGUGCUUUUUAAAAAUUUUAAUAGUAUUUAAAAAACUAAUUUUUGAAAAAUUCUUAAAUCCAAGCAGAGCCAUGGUGUCUCAUACUAACAAGCAUUAAACAAUGCCCUCUAAUGGCGUCUUUAGCAUAGUUUUGAAGAUAUGAAAGAUCAUGGCAGAGGUUGACUCACUAAUACAUAUGUAACUCUUCUCAUAAUCUCUCGGUGAAUCUAAAUAAAUAAAAAAAAAAGGACACUAUUUAGUGCUGAAAAAAUGUCACAGCGAUCAAUGUCAAGGCAUCAGAUAUUUAUUGGUUCUCCACAAAUUGAAUUGGGCUAUUACAACUUGGUUCGAGUUUAAUAGAAAUAUCAAAAUUACUGAAUAAGUAUGUGGGUGCAAGAAUUCUAAUAUGGAAGUAGAAAAAUAGGAAGGGGAAUAUUGGAAAAUGUGAAUAUUAUGGAGAGAGAGAGAGGACUAUGCAGUGAGAGGACGCCACUGAUCGUCCGGGUGGGAGCCUCUAACCACUAUGGCGUAGACGGCGUAGAUAAUGCCCGGGAUGUAACCUAAAAGCGUCAGGACCAAGCAUAUGAAGAACUCGCACUGCCACAGAUUCACAAACGUUCAUCAGUAAUUAUAACUCAUCUAUUUGUCUGUCCAAAGAAAUUGAUUCAUCUCUUUGUGCAUGUGAAAUUGGAAUUUGGAUCAAGGGUUUCAACAAUAAUUAAUUACGCUAAGCAAAUACUCCACCAUCCGGGACAAUGAAUGUGGCCUCGUUCUCUUCUCGGUUGAUUUUUUUAUAUUUUACAGAAUCUAUAAUCAUUAAAACUGAUUAUGGAAUCAGCACAAGCUACUUUUUAGGUGAUUUUAGUUUUUUUAAUCAUUUAAAAAAAAUCUAUAAUCAGACUAUAAAAGCAACCAAAAAACAUCGCAAAAAAACUAAUUCUCUAAAAUCAGAAUCUAUAAUCAGUUAAAACAAUCAAUCGAUAACAAGCCCGAUGUACAUUCGAUGUUCAUUGAAAGCAGUGAUGUAUAUAUGAAGAAAAUAUUAAUGGAUUUUAAAAAACUGGAAGUGGUGUCGUAUAUGUGUGAAUUGAAGUAUAAUCAUCAAUCUUUAGGAAGUAUCAUUAUUGAUCUUGUUCGAAACCCUAGCAUUUUGACAGGAUUUGCUUGGAGGGUGUGUGGGAGAGAGAGAGUGUGCGUAGCUUACGCUGCAGCAGCCAUCUCUUAGGCAAACACCGAGUGGCGGGAUGAAUAUUGCGAUGAGGAUCUCUAAGAAGACUUCACAUCUAGAUGCCAUCCUGAUAGCUGAUUCCUGCUGCCGUAAAGAGUUGGAAGAAAUGGUGUGGGGAUUAAUUCUACUUUGGGGUUCAAGAUAUAGGAGAAAAAUUCAAAGUUUGCAUUGAUGAUUAAUCAAGGAAAUAAGAAAUUCUCGGAUCACAUUUUGACCUAGUAAAGUGUAACAAAUGGUCAAAUCGUUGUUAUAAAGAAUGGAAAAAAGGUCAGCCUUGGUGAGCCCAAACAGAGCCCACAUUCGCAAUAUUUGAUGUGGCAUUACUUAUGUUGUAACAUAAUCAAACCUUAAUUUUUAGAGCAAGUAAAGAAAGACAAGACAAAAUUGACAAAAAAAAAAAAAAAAAAAAAAAAAGAGGAGAGACGAGAUAACAACCUCAGUGAAAGUUCAAACAUAAGCAAGAAGAAUUCACUGCCAAUCUCCUUGAAAUUAUUUUUCUUGCUUUGUUUUCAUAUUCCUUUUGCCUAGUGCAUUGUUGUUGUCACUGUAAUUAUGUGCUCUAUUAGUUACAAAAUUACUUGGUUCUUAGUUUGGUUUUGCAAAAGUAAACGAUGAUAUUGAUUCUUCAAAGCCAAAAGAGAGCUUAUCUACCAAAUUGUUGAGUAAAGGUAAUAAUUUGGUGACUAGAAGUCUCGAUUUGAGAAAAGGAAAGAGGCAAAGAGUUGCCAGGGAGGGAAUUCUCUGCUACUGAAGGAGAUUACCAAAUCAGUUUUAUAGGAGUGCGCGGUCAUUUAAUUAUCUUUGACGAUAGUUUUGUCAUGAAAAAUCUUAUUAUGGAGUGGCUCCAGCUUUUUGAGGAGUGCUAGCAUCAUCAACCUACAAAAAGUACCAAAAUAAAUGUUUCUAAUUUUUUGUUUUUUUAGACUUAAAAAUUCUAAAAUAAAAAUAUAAAAAGCAAUUGAGAACACAAUAAGAUAAUUUUUUCAAAUUCAAAAUUUAAAAUCAAGUUUUGAAAAUCAGUUGAGAACAAGGUUGAAAUUUUAUUGACAUAUAUAUUCAAAAUCAUUUCAUUUCCUUCUGAAAACUUCCAAACAAUAUCAAAAUCUCUUCUCUUUUCUUCCAUACUUUUCUUUCAUAACUUAUUAUUUCGCUUUUUUUUUUUGUUUUUUCUUUUCUAACCUAAACUCCCAAACUAGGAGAGUAGAGAAAAGAAAAGGUAUGUAGCAUGUCGAAUUUACAAUUUGCUCUUCUAUUCAAAUAACUACAUCUUUGCUUAAUGGGUAAAAAUAAUUCAGUUCGUUUGGAUGGAAGAAAUAGUUUAAGUUGGAGAUUGGAGAGCGUUGGGUUUGUGUUUUUAUCCUUUCUUUUCUUCGCAAAGGCUGCUGGAAAUGGAAAGAAAGUUACAUUUGUUUAUUCUACUUGUUUGGAAUGACUUUUUUCUCAAAAUUUUUUUUUACAUAUAUCAUAACCCCAUUUUCUAAUCACUUUUUUUUUUCAUCACAUACAUUAAAUUGUUGCGAUACAUUUUUCUAUAAAAACUAUAAAAAAAUAGCAAUCCAAAUGAGAUAUUUUUCUGGGGAAAGGCACCAUAUGCUCUUAAUUUGUGCAGAUUUCUGAAACAAUUAGGCACCACUGGUCUACCUUGUUUGGAUUGCAUUUUUCUGAAUUUUUUAUAAAAAAAAUUACUGUAAGUCUGUAACGAUUUGUAUAUAUAUGAGGAAAAAAGGUGAUUGCAAAAUGUGUUCACGAAAAACGUAACAAUUUUUACUUGAAAAAUGGCAAUCCAAACACACCUAGCUACUAGUUAUGUUUCUUAUUUCAACCAAUCUGGGGUUUCUGAAAUCUUAGAAGUUAUUUACAGCUAAAUCUCAACAGCAUGGCAAAUAUGCUACAUUAGGCAAAAUUACACAAGCUAAAGUUACAGACAUUUGAAUUGCAGCCAUGACCGGGGAUGGGGUUUUUGGGGGGAGGGGAGGGGGGUUGUCGGGGCGGGAACAGUAACUGGAAUUACUGCCUUUGGAAAUCAGGUUGCAUCUCUCCAACAAUUUCAGCAGCUAGAUAUUUAUGCAGAAGGUUAACCUGAAAUAUAACAGUCAAGACCAUUAUCAUGUCUUCUCGCUGCCUGAUAAUCAUCUUCCUAACACAGCCCCAUCAGCAUCUUCAUUAUUUAUAUUAUCUCCUAUGGUAGCUUCAUCAGCUUCUUGAAGCCGGGUCAUAUGCUUCUUCCCCUUUCUAUGUGCUUCCAUCACACUUUCAUUGUAGGCUCCUACUUGGCACAUCUCACACCAAAAUGUGCAUAUUUUCUUCUUCUUUUGCCCUUUGUUGGGGGCUUUCUGAACUCCCAAGUUUUUCUUCCUUGUAUUGUCUGUCUUAUCACUUUCUUCCGAAAUUGACACAUUAUUUUCUUUUGUCCGUUCUGUACUUGAAUUAAUCUGAAGCGAAGAUUCCCUAGUUUGAUUAAACUGCGACAGUUCUCCCCUUGAUUUCAGUCCCAUCUCUGAGCUGAUCUUAUGAGCAACUUCCACUGAAGGCUUGAUGUCUUUCUUGGGGAAUGUGCCGAUGCCAAUAUUAUUACCAUUCCUCUGCGCCCUCAAAGCAGCUUCUUUGGACUUGUGUUUCUUUCCUUGGAUGUGAUCAUUCAGGCCCCGCUCACUUGUGGCACUAACCUGACAAAGCGCACAACUCCAUUCCUCCUCCACUUUCUUCUUUGAAACUCCACCUGAGAGGUCACCUGCACCCUCUUCUUCCGGUGGAACAGCUUUCCGCUUUGCUCCCAAAAGUGAUGCAUCAGGUUUAGCCUGUGUAGAGAGCUCAAAAAAUCCAUAAUCAAGUCCAUAACUGUUAAGUACAAAGGGAAAUGACAAGAACAACAAUUAUUAGUUUAGAUCAAACCAAGUGUUCUGGCAAAAUGUGUACCAUCCAUUGGCCAUCUAGCUUUGAACAAAAAGACUUGAUCUGCUCUAUUUGAAUAGAGUAACACCACUUAUACAUGCUAGAGAGAGAGAGAGAGAGAGAGAGAGAGAGAGAGAGAGAGAGAGGACUAGGGGCACAGAACAGAAGUUGUUUUCCUAAGCAGGCCAGGCCCUGAUCUAUUUUAGUUAAUUCCGAGUACUAUUUUAGCUGCCAGCUUUAGCUCCAUUCACUUAUCUAAAAAAUGCCAGUAAGCAUAGUCAUGCCAUUACAGCCUAAACCAGUUUCUAAAUCUAAAAGUCACAUGAUGACAAGAAACAUAGCUUCCAACAACGACUGUAUUGAAUUCCCAGUCUCAAUUUCUCUCCAGAGUUGGGUGGCUUGUAACCAGUCUCAUUGGUAAAACACAUUAUAUCCUAGCAUGAUUUUGGAUAUAGUCUCCACUUUAAAUGUCGUUUAUUAACGCUUGAUUAUCCUGAUCCCAGAAGGCCAAAGUGCAAUAGACAAUCAUGAGUGAUGAGACUUCCUGAUCUAAACCAUGAAUGUAUUGACCAGGUAUGCAUGGUUGAGAUCAGUUGAUCACGUCAGCCUCGACUGGCGAUGGCACUCUCGCCCCCAAACUGUGAAUUACCAACAGGGGUAAAUUACAUUGAACUCCCGAAUUCUAUACCUAUUUACAGUUAAAAAUGCCAAUAGCUCUUCAUUUUAACUUUGAAAAGCAGCUCUUCCCAGAACCUGUAAUGCCACCCCAUGACUCCAAGACCAUAUAUUUAUGAAUUUCAAAAUGCUAAUGACAUGUCUGUGAAUUUAUCAAUAAAAUCAAGAAAGAUAACAAAUGGUUAAAUUGCAAAAGAACAAACUUUCAAAUCCCAAACGUAUGAUAUAAAGAUGACCAAAGAAAUUCUCUCAAAAGGAUUCACAACCAACAUCCUAAUCAAGGAGGGCAAGAUCUGAUAGUUGAUGGAUUCAGCUUGUAAAACAUAUCAGAUUGAGCUCGUGAUUUACAAGUAGAAUCCAAUUAAAUCCAAACCCAACAAUUAGAAUGAAAGUUCUUAAUCCUGUCUUUAAGAAAUCCUUGGAUCAUCUGUAGUCAUACAACUUGGGGUUUGUUUAUUAUUGAACAUAAAUUACAACACAGAACUUCAAAUGAGUGUACUAAAUGAAAACAGAAACAAUAAGAACUUGAUAGAUCAGAAUUCACGACACCAAAAGGAAGAGUUGCUCCCAGCCAAAUCCAAUGAGAACACUACACAGUUACCACCAAGGCAAAUGAGACAAGUAUCAAAGGCAAAGAACAGAGAACCAUAACCAAUAAUAGAAACAAAAAGAAAUUAUAAAAUGGAAGGACAUUUGCAAGCCAGGACCAGCUAAGGACAACGUCAACAAGAUAAUGAUGUGCAAAACAGAAACUAUCUAUGUGAAAGUCUAACAAUUGGUUAACACCCUCCCUCCCCGGUGCACAGAACAGGUGCAGAAUAUCCCCCCAGUAUUUUGAAAGACCUUAACACAGUAUCUGUUAUAAUGGAGAUAAUCAGCAAGUUUUUUAGGAAAAGCAAUAAGUAGGUGGCACUCCUUUUCUACAGGGGGUGUAACCAGCAAAUAACAUCUUUCUCCAAUGUUUGUCAUAACAAAAGUUGAAUUUCAAGAAGAGAUGGUAAAAAGUCUGUAGAUCAUUCAAAAUAGUGAGUCAGAGAAGUUCUUUUAAAGCUUGAUAAACAAUCUGACUGAAGUUCUUCAAUCCACCACGGAAAAUGAUCUCCAAUUAUCAGCCACAUCACCCAAAAAGACAUGCAACCUUUUUUGUGGACCAAAGCUCACAUAUAACAUCAACCUCAAAUUCCGUUGGAAGAAAGUAAAACAAUUGCAUGGGCAUUUAUGGCUAGACAUACAAAACCCUGUUUAAUAAGACUAACAAAAACCAGACCUUGAUACUCUACAAAACGGAGCAUACAAACAAUUUAUGACUAUAACCACAAUCAAAUGGUAAUGAUAGAACAUGCCUUGAAGCUCUAAAAAUGUUGUGAUCCAAAUGCAGGUGAACAAUCUUACCACUUAACCAGAUCCAAGUGUGAGAAAUAGAAAACUACAUACUGACCAGUAUAACAAUUUUGUCUUUUUUAACGUCUGCUGGAGAUGACAUAAACUCUUUAAUCUUUGGCUCUAUGCUUCCAUGCUGAAGCGGCACCAUCCCAAGUCUCCCAGUCUCAUGUCUCUCCCUCAUUCCUAGCCUCUCUUCUAGGGACAUUGCAAUUCUCUCCUCUAACGACUGCCCUUUAUUAUGCAGAAACAAAACAUCUCUAGGCUGAAACUCCAUCGCACCUCCAAAUGGAAACGAAAACCUAUCAAAUGGAUCAACUAGCCCUCUUCUGGCCCGAAUGGCUAAUUCUCUCUCCAUCAUCAUCUCCCUCCUUACUUCAGCCUCCAGUGCUUGUCUCUCCGCCGCAAUGAUUUCUUCCCUAAUCCGCUCCUUCUCAAGUUCUCUCUGAAUUGCCUCACGGACAUCGAGUCGAUUCCUAAUGUACUCAUUUACUUGUCCAAAAUCCGCAUUAAAACAACCAUUGGCCCAUCCAGGGCCAGAAUUGAAAUACUCAUUGGCCCUUCCAGAGCUUGGAAUUCUAUAGCCCGCUGAAACACACAGAAGCAAAAAAAAAAAAAAGAGGAGAAACAGAUCAGUAAAAUUUAAGUUUAAACUCUGCAUCGCGACCAAAACUUUUCAGAAAUUAGAUUUUAGAGAAAAAGGCUAAAAGUAUGUCGAAAGCCAAUUCCAAAAUUCCUUGCUUGCUCCAAAGAUCCUCUCUCUCUCUCUCCAGCUUUUGGCCAAAAUUGAACUUCUAGAAGGCCAGUUUUACAUUGUUAACAAGUUGCUGGGUAUAAAAACCAAAUUUUUGUGUGAGAAAAAAAGAAAAGAAAAAUCUCUCCACUCUAACAAGCGGCAUGCAUUGGGUCUAGGAACACGAACCAUGACAAAUCCAAUAUCAAAAUUUCAGAUUUUCUACAGCGAACUAUAAAUGCAGAGCAAAUGCAGGAGCAGUAAAAACAAUCCAAUAAGUUAAUCUCAAAAGUGAAUCAAUUAUUCAGAUUUACCACAUGCAAACAAGUCAAUCCAGUUACAGAAAUGAAUCAAUCCAGUCAAAGAACAGUUUUUUACCAGCAAAAAAAUGGAAAAAAGAAAAGAAACGAAAAGGAAAAAAAGGACCUCUGAUGGCUUGUUCAGUGAAGUAACUGUAGCCCGAGGACGACGCCGUCGGGUGUCUGUAAUACGGCUGCGGCGGCGGAGGUGGCGGUGGUUCAUCCACAGCUCUAUAUUUGAAUUCCAUUUUGCACUUACCACUACCUAUUUCUCUCUGUGCUUUACUUAAAACUGAAGGGACUGGAGAAUUUAAGUGGGGGGGAGCUUUUAAAUUGUUUCUUUUAUGGGGGAAAGUGAGAAAAUUGAGAGGCGGAACACGUGUACUUCAGGGGGAGUUUGAGACACGCGCCUCUGGCGGGAGGUAGGUGGCGUUCAGAAAUUGAGACUGCCGCUAUCAGUAGUAUCGGAGCCUCAUUUUCUGAACGGGUUGGGGGUUUUGUUCCGGCAGAGAAGCCGGCGAACGUGUAUGCCAGACUCUACCACUGCAAGUGAGAAAGACAAUAAGCAACGUACACAUGCAUAUCCUGUUGUUAGAAGUAGAGAAAACGUGCGAGAGGAAAGAAGUUGGAUUCGUAUUACGCAAUAAUCUUUUAAUUUUUUGUUUGCCAAACGAAAAUAUUGUACUUACUACGAUGUAAAAGAUUUGCCUUCCUUGUAUAACAGCUCAAUGAGUACGAAAUUUAUUGUUCUGAGGUGGAUACCAUAAUACUAAUUCAAUGCUAAUUAGGGUUAUUAUGACGGGUAUUUUUUAUUUAUUAUUUUUUUAAUAUAAGUAUGAGAUCUCAAAUUCAAAAUUUCUUAUUUAUAUUUUCUUAUCAUCUAAUCCAUCCCUCGCUCCUCGAAUGAAAUAUUUAGAUUAGUGUAUAUCAGUAUAUAUAUAUAUAUAGAGAUGCAUGUUCCAAUUUUCCAUUAUUAGGCCACAAACACAAAGUCAAAGUUGGAAGCCAAAGCCACAAAGUUCAAUAGUAGCAACAUGUGAGCAUUUAAGUACUAUAGCAAUAACCUUUUUCUUUUUUCUUUUUUGCCUUUUUGGUGCGAAAGUAUUACAGUAACUCACCGUCCUUUUCUUAUCCAAAACCAAAAGUGAGGAAUGAGGUAGGGUGACUACAGGACUAUACGACAUGGCAAUGACCAAUCAACGAUGAAGCAGUGGUUUGGAAACUUCACCGCUGCACGUUUGGGUCUCCCCUUCAAUUAGUUACUGAAUGCACGGAUUCUUAAAAGUGCAUUGAACGUUGAAAUUUGAUGGCUGCACUCGAAAACUAUUCGCAUUCCGACAUUGAAAGACUUGUACAUAAACCUUUUUUCUAUUUCUUUUCUUUUUUCCCAACUGUUGGUGUUCCGAUCCCUAGAGCCUUUCUGUAUGAAUUAGAUAUCUUUGAAAGUAUUUUUUUAAAAAAAUUGUACUUCAGGAAUUAUAUAUGAAAAAAUUUUAUUAUAAAUAAUUUAUUAUUUUAAAGAUAUAUUUUACAAUUUUUUAAAGUAUUUUUUAAAAAAUUGAAAAUAAUACCGGUGGUUGUCACUGCCGCCCAUUGCUCCUUUCUCCUCUCUCCUCCCUAUCUUUCUUUCUUCCCCUUCUUCCUUCCUCCUCUUCUCUCUUUCCUCCCUUCUCCUUCCUUCUCCCGCCUCCCAUCCCCCUUUGGUCUCGCUGCAACCAAAUUGUGCUUCUCUAAAGAUGAGGGUAGGAAAGAGAGGGAGGGCGGCAAUGACGAGGGAGGAGGGGAGGGUAGGGUGGUGAUAUGUGGCGAUAAUAGGUUGUGGAUGGAAGAAGAUGAAGGUGGUAAAUUUUUUUUAUCUUGAUUAUUUGUUUUUUAAUUGUAUUUAAAUUUUGUAUGAAUUAGAUAUUUUUAGAACUGUGCAGCUAUAAUAUUUGUAUUUGAAAAACUUGUUCGUGAACAAAUCACUAACUCAAACAGAGUCCCAUUCUCAGGCUUGGGAACUCUUCUUCAUCCUUGCAUUAUUUCAGCGUCCGUGUGAUGAUGUAACUGAGCAAGAGGUUCUCAACGAAUUUCAAACAGAUACAAACUUCAGCACCUAACCCCGAUGUGCCUCGCUAAAACUAAAAAUUCUGCAGUACUGAUUCAAACUGCACGACUAGCCUGGUAUGUAUGUGUGGUUUCAUUUGCUUAAAACACUGGAACGAAAGCCUCAUAUUCUUAUCCGCUAAACCAUUGUAAAACAACGAAAAUACCCUGAUGUUGAAUGAAAUUAAAGGAUGGCAAUCAGUCAAAGCCAAAGAUGACAACUUCAAAAUCAAUCAAAAACUCGAAAAUGAUUUGUUUUCUGCUUUUUGUUGGGGAUGUGGGCGCUUACUUUUCUAUGAGCAUUUAACUAACGCUCUAAAGGUAAGCAGCGCAGCAACAAUCAGGUCGCGUUUGGAUUGUAAUUUUUUGGAGAUUUUAUAAAAAAUACAGUAGCGAUUUGAUAUAUAUGAGAUAAAAAGGUGAUUAAAAAAUGUGUUCACGUAGAGAUUUUUUUGGUGAAGAAUCCUUUCCAACCAUGGAAUGCAGUUCAAGAAGAGAAACGAAAGAUUUUACCGGUGGCCAAAGCUGCAAGACUUUGACCAAUUGACCAGACCUACCCUUCUUUCUUUGAAACUUCUUGGCUUGAUCCAUUGGUAAGCAGUCGACUUGACUCGAACAAGUUGCUCGCAAGCAAGAAACAAUUUUGGCAGACUUUUAAUCUCAGUUUGAAACAUACCUGUAGAUUUCAUUUUUGCCAUGGAAUAUAUACGUAUCACCUGAAUGUUUUUGCUUAAAUUUACAGAGAUCCAUUGAAUGGGAUCAAGAUCACAUAUUUCCCCCCCUAAGUAGCAAGUAGUAGCAGCAACCGUACACCCUUUUGAGUUGGGCUUAAUUUGCUGACUCAAUGCAUUGUGCAGGUUUUCCCAAGUUUGUACCCGUCCCCAAAAUUUGUACGGCCAAAAAUUGGAUCAGCACAAAUCCUCUCACCGCACGCAUAUGGACAGAUUGAAGGAUUUGGAACCUGUUGCAGGUAGAAGAGACGCUACCAAUUUGUUUAUUCGCCAACCAGGCAAAGCAGAGAAAGUGGGAAUAGAAAAAUGCCUAAACCUUUGCAAGCACUGGUCACUAAUAUAUAGUUGAAAAGAAUGUAUUUGUAUUUAUAUAUAUUUCCUUUGCACGGGUGUUGCAUGACGAGUACUUUAUCUUCAUGAAUCGCGCGUUCGCUAUGAAAGCAACUCAUACAUGUAUUUCAUCAAAGGCUAGAGUUUUCACGUAAAGCAAAAAGGCUACAAGAAAAGGAAAGCAAGACCUUAAUUUUCUUCGAUUUCCAGAGUUGAUGUACCAGAAAGGAAUAGAGAACGAGGAGGUAAAUCUGGACACCUUCUGGAACUAGAUUAAGCAAGACUCAAAACUUUCCUUGGUUCCUCAGUCAAACCAGCAACGGACAUUUUACAAAAUCUAAGCAAAAGCCAUAUAUCGCCUUAUCAUAAUCCAUCUGUAGCAUCUAUUACACAUAUAUAUGACAUACAUGACAGGUAUCUGUAUGUAAAACUAAUUUUCCUUUACAGAGGAGGAAAACAUAACUACAUUGUCUAAGAGCCUUGCUGCUAUUUUCCAUAUUGGCUAUUGCAGCAGGGCAAGAUUUUCCUAAGCCCACUAGCUAAUGCUAUGUUGAUCUUCUACAGUAUUUCACAAGCCGAGCAUUCAAACCCUCAAAGCAACAGGGUCUUGCCACGAGAUUUUUCGCUUCCCAAUUCGAGAUGAACCUUCCCCAACAUUUCUAC
rnacentral:lncRNA from 1 species